CCCGGUGCGCCGCACAGUGCCUCUUAGAAGACGCAUUUUGUUUUUUGGUGACAGGAGUGAAAAAGAAAAAAUGAACUGAUCUGUCCUGCCCCAGUUUGCUUUUAGUUCUCCAAGCUGGCCGCGCCUACACUUUGCACACUGGGACGAGGGAGGAAAAGGGACGCAACUGGAGCUCGAAGCGGCGCCAGGCGAGGAUGACUCGGCGACGCGGCCAUCUGCGUUACCCGGCGUGCCCCGCGCGGCGCCGGCGGAGGGACGUGGGGGGAGGGGCGGGGGGAGGAAGCGGCUGCGGCUGCGGCUGCGGCUGUCGCUGCGAACCAGCGGCGUCUGAACACUGCGCUGCUACGGAGCGCCGAAUCCGGGCCUGCACCUGGAGCCCACACCGAGCUCCGCGGCCCCUUGGCGGCCCGGCGCCGUUGCCACCUAGGCGGCGUGCCCUGCGUUCUCCGCUGCCCGGGCCAGUCGGCUCUGGCGUCUCCUGGCUCCCCCUUGCUCUCCCGCUCCCUCCUGCUCGCCUGAGUCACCGACGCCGCCGCCGCCAUGGCCGAGAGUAGUGAAAGCGGCGGUCCUCCGGGCUCCCAGGACAGCGCUGCCGCGGCUGAGGGUGCCGGCGUCCCCGCGGCCGCUGCCUCUACGGAGCCCAAGAUCAUGAAAGUCACCGUAAAGACCCCGAAAGAGAAGGAGGAGUUCGCUGUGCCCGAGAACAGCUCGGUCCAGCAGGUGAGGCCGCCUGGGGCCCGGGCCGGGGUGGGGGUGGCCGCAAGAUCUCCGCCCGCGAUCGGAGGAGACGGUUUUGGAAGGGCCUGGGAGAGGGUCGUCCGCGGAUGUGCCCUCGGCCAUUCUGGAUCUCAUCUCACAUUAGAAAUUGCUCAAGUUCGCGGGUUUGCUCCUUUGGACUCCGCAGAGGUUUGUGGCGGGGCUGUGCGGCCUGCUUGUGGGACGCGCCGCCGUCGCCGCCGCUUGGCUCUCCAAGGUCCUCUUCUAAGCCUUCGAUUUAGAAAGAAAAUAAUCUAUUUUUCAUAUUUCUAAGUGAAAUUCUCAGGGGAUUGUAGAUAAAUUGUGCACUAUAGCUGUCAGCAACACAUGUUAUAUAAAACCCCAGGAAAUGUUCUUUAUUUCACAUGUCAGUUGGUUUUGUCUUGAAUAAGCUGAUCUCUAACAGCAGGUAAUUGUUUUUCUUCUUUGACUGCCUCUAGCAAUGCAUUCUCUCUCUUCUUUCUAUGUACAAAUCCACUCCCUCCACAAACCCACAUGCUCGCAUACAUUUCUCCUGCAAGAUAGGAAGAAUGCUUCUCAGGACAUUCUUUUCAUAAACUGGAGGAAUAAGGCAAAACAUAUUUCAGACAAAAUACUUGAAGGAUAUGUUCUGAAUAAUUAAUAUUAAAAAAUAAAAUGGAGGUUUUUAGACAGAGGACUCCAUGCCAACUCAAGUUUAGGAUGAACCAUGUAUCAAGUCAUGAAUUGUGGAUUCUCGCUUCCCAUAGGUAUAAAAGGUCAGGAACAAAAUUCACCUAAUUGUGUAACUCAAAAUCAUUUAUGAGUGAAUGAGCAAAUAAAAAUUAAGGAAGGAAAAUAUGCAAAUGCACAGAAAAUAAAUUCUUGUUGAAAUUAGAGAACUGACUUUUAACAUGAGGUUCUACAUAAUGAUCCACACAAUAGCUAGAAUUUCUUGAAGCAUACUUAAUGAACAGGAAACACAGCAGUCACUUGCAUCAGCAUUUUCAGGAGAAUCUGUUUCCUUAUCUUAUGGACCAUUUGAUUGUAUUUAGGGCUGCUCUAGGACCCUGGCAUCAAAUAUCUGAAAAUGAAGAAAUGUGAGGUAAUUGGGUGGGUUUUCUUUUCCCAGUCAGAUUUUUACAUUUACUUAGAGAAAUGAUACAGCUUAUUCCAUUGAGUAAAAGUCUUUAUAAUAGAGCAUCAGGGCAUUUAACUUAUCAUUUUUAAAAAAAAAUUAAAUUAGAAAAAUAGCAAAUAGCUGAAGUUCAUAUAGUACUUUCUACAUGUUAUACUGGAAUUCAAACAUUCUAUUCAAUUUAAUUUACUUAAUCAGCAAUUUAUUCAUCAUUUUGACCCCCAGUUUAUGUAAACUGAAACACAAUGUUUCACAAUGAUUUGAUUGUGGGCAGUCUGGUUCCAAAGUCCAGGAUGUUACUGUUGGCUAAUUUAUAUGCGUGCUAGAUCUAAUUAGUUUACUGUGUUUUUAUGUACCCUCUUUUCUUAUUUAUCUUCUUUUUGAUGGUUAUAUUCAUUAUUGAAACAGGGGUAUUGAAGUCUUCAAAUAUUAUUAUAGAACUGGAUAUUUAUUCAAUUCUGUCAGUUUUAGCUUCAUAUAUUUUGAUGACAUGUUAUUAAGUAUAUAAAUGUUUAUAAUUUUUAUAUCUUCUUGUUGCAUUGAGACUUUUAUUAAUAAAUAUGCCUUUUUUUGUCUCAUAGAUUUUUUGAUCUUAAAUCUAGUCUGUGUGAUAUUAGUAUAGCCAUUCCUAUUUGCUUUCAGUUACUGUUUGUAUGGAACAUAUAUAUUCAACUUUUCAUUUUCAAUCUAAUUGUGUCUUACAAUCUAAAAUGAGUCUCUUAUAGAGAGUAUAUAGUUGGAUCGUGGUUUUAUUUAUUUAUUUAUUUUUUGGUCCAUUUUGUUGACCUACAUUUAUUAUUCUGAGAGCUUAAUCCAUUUACCUUUAGACUAAUUAUGAUAAAGAGGGACUUACUGUGUCAUUCUGAUUUUUAAUUUCUCUGUGCAUUCUAGCCUCUUUUAUCCUUCAUUUACAUUUACUGUCUUCUUUUGUGUCUAGUUGAUUUUUUUUUGUAGUGAAACAUUUGAAUUCUUUUCUUAUUUCAUUUUGUAUAUUAUUUAUAUAUUAUUCAUAUAUUUUCUUCAUUGUUACCAUGGGGAAUAUACUUCAUAUCCUAAAGUUAUGAGACUAUAAUUUGAGUUUAUACCAGUUUGGCUUUAAUAGCACACAAAAAUAUCUUCUCUAAUGCCUUUGUCCUCACCCUUUUUGAUUGUUAUUGUUACAGAAUUACAAAUUUAAACAAUGUGUGCCUCCAAACAAAUAAGUAUUUUUAAAUUUCAUUGUUCUCGAUUAUGUAAAAAACAAAAUAUGGAGUUACAAACCAAAGUUACAAUAAUACUAAAUUAAUUUAUUUUUUAAAUUAAUCUCUUAAAACAAGAAGAAAGAACAAGAAGAAAUACAAAUUAUUGUUCCAAUAAUACUAGAUUUUAUAAUACAGAAUCUUAUUAAGAUAUUUAUUUCUUCAUUCAGCAUUAAGUCACUCUUUGGUGUCCUUUCAUCUUAUCCUGUUCUCCCUUAUUAUUUAUUGCAGAGCAGAUCUAAAGGUAACACACUCAUUUUCUUUUGUUUGAGUAUUUAUAAUUUCUCUGUAGCUUUUAGGGGUAGUUUUCCCACAGGUAGUAUUCUAUGUUGACUAGUUGAUAUUAUUUCUGUUUUUUUUUUUUUUUCUUUUAGCACUUUAGAUAUAUUGGCUUACUACCUUCUGGUCCUGAAAGUUUCUGAUGAGAAAUAAGUUGACUGUUUUAUUAUGGAUCCCUUGUGUGUGAUAAGUUUGCUUCUCUCUUGUUGCUUUAAAUAUUCUCUUUUUAUCUUUGGCUUUUAGAAGAAGUUUGAUUAUAGAGACCUUUAUUAUGGGUCUUUGUAAAGAAACACAUAUAGAGGAAUACCUGUGAGGAGGCACAUGAAGAACAGAUACAGAUACACAAAGUUCAAGCAGACAGACAGGAGGAGUGGAGAGGAUUGAAAUGAAGUGGUGAAGAAGAAGUACAGAAGAAGUACAAAGUGAAGUGUCCUCCCCUACCUGUGAGUUUAUUAACUAAAAGAACACAUACCUCCGUUACCAUGACUGUAUUCUAAUUAGUAUGUCUUUAACCUGUGUACUAGCUAACUGAGAUAAAGUCCAGGUUAGAAGUAACACAGGGCUCCUACCUACCAAGGGCAUAUCCAAGGAAACCAGAUAGUGUCUGCAUAGUUGGCUCCCUAGCUCAGAGGGAGGAGGCUGGGCAUCCUAGGUCUGGGAAGCAGGGAAACUUGUGAAGGACAAUGCUAUGGCAGCCAGGCAUCCUGUGCUUUUGCACAGGAGUUUCCCAGUCACCAGGUAUUACCUAGCAGCCAGGAAUUCUGUAUCUUUGCACAGAAACUUCCUAGUCACCAAGCAUGUCACAAUCACAAAGUUUGUAGACCCCAAUUAUAAGCACAGAAUUCCUACAGGUCUUUUUGUGUUCCUCUUACUUGGAGUUCAUUGAGCUUCUUGGAUAUUUAUAUUGAUAUCUUUUAUUUACUUUGGAAAGUUUUCAACCUUUAUUGCUUUAAAAAUUCUCUAUGACCCUUUGUCUCUUCUCCUACUGCUCACACAAUGCCUAUGGUAUUCUGCUUUAAAGUGUCUCACAAGUUCCUUAGGCUUUGUUCACUUUUUUAUUUUUAUUUUUUCUGUUCCUCAUGCACAAUAAUUUCUAUUGCCCUAACUUCAAGUUUGCUAAUUAUUUCUUUUACCUUCUGAAAUUGGCCUUUGAAUUCUUUUUUUUUUCAUUUCAGUUAUUAAACUUGCCAGCUCUUGAAUUUCUUGUACUUAUUGAUAUUCUUAUUUUUCUCUAUCACAUUGAUUGCUUAACUUCCUGCACAUAAUUAAUUGAGCAUCUUUAGAAUAGUUGUUUAAAAUUUAUUUGUUUAGUAGAUCUAUCAUGAGGUCUUUCUCAGGGGCUAUGCUUUCCUCUUUUUUUUAAUGUGAUAUUUUUUGAAAAACUGUACACGGAAUCUCUUUUCGUUUUCAUAAUAUGCACCCUACCAUGUGUAUAGUGAUUUCUCACUGCUGUUUAGAUUUUCAUUUUCCUGAUAAUUUGUGUUGUUGCACACCUUUUUAUAUACUUAUUAGCCAUUUGUACAUCUUCUCUAUAGACGUAUCUAUUCAAAUUCUUUGCUUGUGUUUUAAAUCAUAUCAUCUGGCAUUUGUUUGUUUGUUUAUUUGACUAUUAGAGAAUAUGAAGUCCUUAUAUAUUUUGGACAUUGACCUUUUGUCAGAUACAUGGUUUACAUGUACAUUCUUCCUUUCCAGGCUUUGCUUUUUCAUUUUGCUGAUUGUUUCCUUUGCUUUGCCAAAGCUUUUCACUUUGGUAUAUCCCCAUCUAGUUAUUUUUGCUUUUGUUGUCUGUACUUUCAGAGCCAUUUCCAAGUCUAAUUAACCUAUUUCCUAUGAUUUAUUCAAGUUUUAUGAUUUUUGGUUUUAAAUUAUGUCUUCGAUUCAUUUUGAAUUAAUUUUUGUUAGUUGCACACGAUAAGGUUCUACAUCAGGUAGUGUUGUCAUGCACUAGUUGACUGUAUAUGCAUGAGUUUCUUUUUUUAUAAGCACUCGAUUCUGCUUCAUUGGUUUAUGUGUCUGUUUUUAUACGAGUAUCAUAUUGUACUGAUUACUGUAGCAUUUGUAUGACAGUUUGUAAUUAGAAAAUGUGGGGGCUGGGGAUGUGGCUCAAGCGGUAAAACGCUCGCCUGGCAUGUGCAGGGCAGUGGGUUCAAUCCUCAGCACCACAUAAAAUAAAAUAAAGAUGUUGUGUCCACCAAAAACUACAAAAUAAAUAUUAAAAAUUCUCUCUCUCUCUCUCUCUCUCUCUCCUCUCUCUCUCUUAAAAAAAAAAAAGAAAAUGUGAUACUUUCAGGUUUGUUCUUAUUUUUCAAUACUGAAUUAUUUAUUUCAGGACUUUUGUAGUGCCAUAUAAAUUUUAGAAUUUUUUUUCUAUUUCUGUGAAAAAAAUGUCAUUGAAAUUUCAAAAAGGGUUAUAUUGAAUUUAUAGAUAGCUUUGGGUUGUAUGGAUAUUUUAACAAUAUUAAUUUUUCUAGCCCAUGAACUUGAGGUAUUAUUCCAUUUGUUUAUGUCUGUUUAAAUUUUUUUCAUCAGUCUUAGUUUCCAGUAUACAGAUCAUUCACCUCAUUGGUUAGAUUUUUCAUAAGUAUUUUAUUAUUUUUGACAUUAUAGUAAAUGGAAUUGUUUUCUUUCUUUUUAGAUAUUUAAUUGUUAGUGUAUAGAAAGAUGACUGAUUUUUGGACUUUGUACAUCACUGCCUCAGCAUCUUAUCAACCUAGCUGGACCAGUAAUGUUAAAUGGAAAAUGGAAAAUUAAUGACUUGUUCCCCAAAGCAAAGCAAGAGAAUGUAUUUCCUAUGCUGGGAAAUUUACCCAGAAGAUUCUCUUGGGACUCUGACAUUUAAAAAUAAGCAAAUGCUUUAGCACUAAUCCUAUGUCACAAAAUACCCUCCUCAGCAGCUGCAUGCAUGUUAAACUUGCAGCUAUAGGGAAUAUUUGCAAAAAAAAUGAAAAGAGCUCAUUAUUAUUUUUAGCUGAGAAAUGACUAUCAUCAGGGAGAUAAAUCAUUCCUCAGUGAAGGAAACCUCAAUUACACUUCAUAGAUUUAUAUGUCAUUUAGAUAUAGGGCAGAUAAACCUGCUGGGAUAUCUGGAGAAAUGAUCCUUGGUUUGAGGAAGUUUUGUUGCUCCCAAAGAAAGCUUUGAAAUACAUAGUGCUAACCAGACUGUGAAAGUUCCUUGCAGAAUUGUUUUGUCAAAUUGAAGAAAUGUUUAUCAUAGAGGUAUAAAAUUGGAGAUACCUUAAAUUAGCUAAAUAACUCAUAUGCUUAAAAAUUACUUUAAUGGGAAUAUAAGACAUACAAAAUCAGAUUUUGACAUGAGAUGGAAUCAAAAUUAUAGUGGUUGAGAUAAACAUAAGAAAAUAAACCAAUUUAUUCUGAAAAGGAAGUGUGCAUAAUACUUAAGCAAUAUAAGAGUAGAUAGCUCUAGGUUCAAUGUUUGGAUUACAAGACCUUCCAUAGAAGGUUAGUGAAGAUUUUGCCUCCUAAUGCCUCUAUCUCUACAGAGUUACCUUCUGGGUAGAGGUAACUAUCUUGUUAUCAAGAUCAAGGAACUUCAUCACUGGAAACAAAUUCACUGAACUCUGAAAUUCUUCCCUUUUGAAACUUAUUAAUAUAAUUGUUCUUGAGAGAUUGAGGUUAAUUUGGAGAAAAGGGACAUGUGUGAUCUGCAUAGGAGAUUUCCUAUGAGGUAGGGGAAUUGGCCUUAUUGAUAAUUUCAACAUUAGGCCAAGAGGAUUGUGGGGUAGCUGGAUGUGAAAUAGUGUGUAACUGAAUGGGCAGAAGUACUCUAGGAAUAGCUGAGAGUCAUAUAUACAAAUGAGUAGUGACAAUGAAUACUGAAGCAUGGGAUUCUUUCUUGUCCAGUAGAGGAAUCUGGGUCUGUCAGGUGUGAUUGCAAUGGUGAAAAAGGAAAGAACAAAUUUUAUGGAAUGAGUUUUUAAUAGUUCUGGGGUAGGAAGAUGUCCGUUAGAGAAGGAGACAGGGAGGGAUAUAACUCCAAAAUCUGCUUUCCCAAAUAGACUGGAGGAAGGUGAGGUUUGAAGAGAGGUGUUUUGGAGACUGUGUAUGUGUGUGUGUGUGGAGAGAGAGAGAGAGAGGGAGAGAGAGAGAGAGAGAGAGAGAGAGAGAGAGAGAGAGAGAAAACCUAUCUAUUUGCUGCAAAAGUGAAAAGCAGGUUACUCACUCGAGACAGAGAUUCAACCAAGAGAUUUUAUUGGGGAGCUGCUGCCCGAAGGGUAAGAAAAGAAAAGGAAGAGAGCAGAAAAAGGGAGAAAGAGAGCAGAGAGUGUGAACUUGCAAGCUUCAGCUUAAGAAGGGUUCUGUAGGAGACAGGGCGUGUGCUGAUUGGCAGCGUGACUCAGGAACUGGAGAGCAGACACUGUGUCUCCAGGGAUUGAUUUAGAAAAUUUUUGACUUUGGUGCCCUUUGGCAUGGUGCCCUUAGGAGAGGAAGGGGAGGGGUAAGAGAUAAUGGUGAUGUUCUUCUCACGAGAUGGAAACUUAACUUCAGCAGGGAGAAACUCAAUGGGGGAAAUAAAACCAAAAGGCAAGGUCUCCCACAUACCCAACAAAAAGUAUUUAUUGGGUCCCAAAUGAUGUUACAGGGAUGUUCUUAAUGGCUAAUGAGACAGGGCUGAAUAACAGAAGACAUGAUGAUCCUUUGCACAUGUGUUCACACUAAAUGCUGCUUUAUAAUUCACUUUCAAUGUCUGACAUACAUAACAUCACAUUUUAUGAAUGAUGAGACCAUCCCAAGUAAAGGUUAAUGGCAAGGAAGAAAGGAGGGGAAUAAAACUGGAAUCUCCUAAUCAAAAUUCAGUGUUCUAAUUUAAUUUCCAAAAUUAUACAGAUCUAAUAAGGUUAUUGGAGUUUUUGAUCCCACAAAGGGUACCCUGUUAUAAUUAGAAUAGAUUCCAAAAUGUAUAAAAAUGAUUAGCACGCUCUGGUCUCUGGCAAACACUCUAAGUUCUAACACUCUAACACUUUGCCAUCUCUCCCUCCUUUCACUGACCUUCAUUAAUUCCUCAAACAUAGAGUCCUUAAGUAUACUAUACUCCAUGAUAAUACUUGGCACACUAUCCAUUUUAUUAUUAACUAGUAGAAAUUAUUUAAUAACUGGCUUCUGAUCUGGACUCUAAGCCCUGUGUUGAUAAUUCUCCUUCUAUAUUGCUUAUUUGGUCUAUUCUCAAUGCUUUGCCCAGUGUCUGGCACAUACAAGUGCUUAUUCCAUGUCUUUUAGUUCACUCCAAAUAAGAAAAUUAUCUUUCUUUGACUUUGUGGGAAAUUAUCUUGCUAUGACCUUGUUCCUAUGCUUUUUGUCUGAUAUUGGGUAGAUUAUAUCCUCCUUCUUUGCUCAGCCUGUGUAACUUUGGCCCAUUCUUACAAAUCCAAUUUAAGACUCUCUCAGACAAUUGUUUCUGCCUCUUCUGAUCUUUUCACACAUUUACUGUGAUAAUGAAGCAGUCAACAUUUGAUUACAUUCAUUCUUUCUUUUUAUAAAACAGUGUAUAUCUCAUGGAUUUUUCUUUCUAUACAAUAUUUUAAAAGAAAUUCUGCAAGUCUUUUCCCCCAUUAUUAUUAUUAUUAUUUUUAGAGCUGUGAACCUUCUGGGCAUCUUCAAGGUGAUGAAUAACAACUAGCUGACAUUGAUUUGGAAGAUGCUCCAGAAUAGAGAGCAGUUAGGAGACAAAGGUUUCUGAUAGAGUACAGGUCUGGAGCUGAUCAAAGAGAGGGCAUAGGGGAGACAGACUUAUUAUUAUUUUUUUAGGAGGCUGAAUGUCAGAGAUUGUAGUGAACAUUUCAAAGCAUAUCAGAGAAAAUAACAGGGUAGAUAUUUGUCUCUCAGGAUGCAUCCAUGAGAAAUGUACUGAAAAAGUCCACUUGAAAACUAACAGGAAAGUCAAGGUUAAUAGGAGAAACAUUGAAUGCCCAACAAUAUCCACAGAGGUUUUAAUUUAACAUUAUAUGAAAAAGCUACACAGAAAGUGAAGUAAAUACAUUGGAAUUUAAAUCACUUACCAUAAUCUGUGUAUUGGGCCCUUUUAUUAAAAUAUUUUUAUAAUUUUCAAACAUUGAAUUUAAUCAACUCAACAAUACAAAAGUUGGCAAUCUGACAGAAAGAUAAUAACUGAAUAGACUUUCGUUUUCAACAUGAAUAGAACUUGUGGACUGAGGAAAACUAUUUUCCCCCUAUUCAUUCCAUGUCAUAAAUCUAUAGAAUUGAAUAACCUUGUUUUGAAAAUCCUAUUCAGACAGGGAACAGGGGUCUCUUAAUCUCAAAAUCCUAUGUACCAACUUGUAUUGCACUGAUAGGUUUGCUCUUUUUCUUAUUGAACUGUAAAUUCCUAGGGUCCAGAGAUUUUCUUUUUUUUUCAUGCCCCUAAGUGUCUGGUUUAUGCAAGGCACUUUUUAAAAGUAAAAGGUUAAAGAAGAUGUAGCAGAUGAUGUUGUUGUGAGCAAAAAUAGUUUCAAAAUUAUAUUUGGCAAAAUAUGGAAAACUUUCCUUCAACCACAAAGCAGGAAAAUGAUUUUUAAAACAGACUUGACCUAUUUAGGGACAAAGAUGCUGAAACCCCUUUUUCCAGAAUCUGCAUUCUAGAGUUUCUGAACUUCCCUUGUUUAUUUCAGCUUGGGAUAAGGCACAAUAAGGCUGCUGUUAUAGAAUCAAUAUGAUGUCUGAAAUAAGAGUAGUGAACAAAAUAUUAAUAAUAGAUACAUGAAUUAGUAUAUCCAAUAUGCCAAGUCAGACUAGUUGAAACACAGGGACCUUUUUUUUUAUCCCCACUGGGACUUGAACCCAGGGCCUUAUGUAUAUUACGCAAGUACUCUACCAUUGGGCUACAUUCCCAGUCCCAGGGACAUAAGUUUUGACAAGAGGGCAAAGAAGUAAUUAUGACCUUUGUUUGUUCUCAAAGAGGGAAAUGUUUGUGACCACAAGGUUAGAAAACAGGAAUAGAGGUAGAAAAGCCCAAACUACACAGUUUACAGUUGGAAGUGGACUCACCAGUUAGUUUCAUCCAGUGGUGUGACUAAGGAAACUGCAGUGAUACGGGAAUUACAGAAAUGAGAAAAAUGAAUGAUAAUUCUCUCAGAGAAAUGUCCCUGUAGAAGUAUAAGAAUAGAUCGUAUCUCCCUAAGAGUUACUUAGCUUGUUAUUUUGACAUCUUUAUACCUGUUUAUGAGCUACUACUAGACCAGGUACAUAAAGCAAUUAAAAUAAGUUUUGAGGCUGGACAGAAGCAAGGGACACGUGGAUAUGGUCAAGCUUGGCCUCUUCAUAGUUUUAUUUUUUUUUUCCCUCUCAGAUCUCAACUCCAAACAAAAAUUUACACUUUUUGAAUUUGAUUCUUUUAUAAUGUAGAUGACUCCAUGGAUCAAUUAUACUGUACUUAUAAAAUAUAUAUUCUCAAAAAUAUUGGAUGGGCUUGUGAAACCCUGGGAAUUUAGAAUGGGUAUAGAGCAAAGACUUCCUUUACUUCUUCACUGAUGCUGGUUCAUGUGGUCAGAAUUUUAUAAAUGGUACCACAAAUGUAUCUUUGCCCAGUCCUAGAACCUGUGAAGAAAAUGAGUUAUUAUGCUUGUGGUUAUAUUAUUGUACAUGACAAAAGAGAAUUCCUAGAUGUGAUAAGGUUACUGUUAAUCAACUGCCCCUUACACUGAGAAUAUUGUGCUGGAUUAUUCAUGUGGAUCUGGUGCAAUCACAAGAGGCAUUAUAAAUAAAGCUCCUUCUCCUGCCAGUAGACAUAGCAGGAAUAAAAAAGGGGAGGUCAGAGAAAUUUGAAGCAUGAAAAAGACACUGUUGAUGAGUUGAAGAUGUGAUCACAAGAUGGAAUGCCAGCAGCUUUGAGAGACAGCAGACACUGACACAGACUUACAGGUGCAAAGGAACUAGAUUGUGACAGUCACCAAAGGAGCUCAGAUGCAGAUUCUUCCUGUAAACCUCCAGAUAAAUAAGCCUAAUAAGCCAGUGUCUGGGUUUCAGUAUUGUAAGCUCCUGCACUGAGAACUCAGUCCAGUCUACCUAGACUUCUGACCAACAGAACUGUUAGAUAAUUAAUGGGUGCUAUUUUAAGAUAAUAGAUUUAAAGUAAUUCAUUAUACAUCAAUAGAAAACUAAUAAAGCUACACACUGACAUGUUUAUGGAUGAAAUUAUUCUAAUUUGUGUCAAAUUAAUCCAGUGUAGAAGCAUGAAAAUGGGGGUAAGCAAAACUAUAGUUAAAUAUAUUUAAAAUAAUCUGUAGUUAAAAUAUUAUAAAAAGCUAGAAUGUGUGCUUGAAACAGUUUUACAGAGGAACUAGUAAAAAAUGAGUUCUACAACUCUUUGAUAGUCUACAUCCACCUUGAGACUUUAAAAGGGUAAAUCAAGAAAAUUUGUGUCAAUCUAAGAUGAAUUUUUGCCCCUGUGCUCAAGUGGAGGGAUGGUAUGGCAGGUGUUCCCUCAUUCAUUUCAAGACUAGAGAAUCUUUUUUUCAACAAAACUGUUUGGAACAGCAAAGUUUCUCAACAAUUGAGUGACAUCAUGACAUGAUGUCACAGACAACUAAAGUACAUGUGAAAGUAAUCUGUGUUGGGGAUAGGGAAAGGGGGAGUGGGGAGUUGCAUUUUGAAUAGACUCCCACCAUAAGAGGAGCAGUGAAAUAUUUCCAUGGACUAGAGAUAGUGUAACAUGUAGAGUGAAUGGAUGAGUUCUUUGUCUCCUAAAUUUGAGGAAUGAAAUCUAUGGAUACAAGGAUGAGAGCAUAUUAACAGGAUUUACAGAAAGAAAUAAGAGCUCCUGAAGAGGGAGUGUCCCUAAGGAGAGAUGUCCACAGGUGUCUGUUGUCUAGGGGUUUUUAUGUUCUUUAUCUGUCCCUAUAGACUGGUGGUGACUAUGUUAAUGGGGGAUGCUAGCAUGGACCAAUUAAACUCUCUAAGUUCUGAGUUUAAUAAGCCAGUCAGAAGUUUAUAAUAUCCCUUAUUUAUAUAAUUAAGAGAACAGGUCUAAAGUUGGGCAAAGUGGCACACACCUAUAAUCCUAGCGGCUCUGGAAGCUAAGAUGGGAGGAGAGCAAGUUCAAAGCCAGCCUCAGAAAAAAUGAGGUGCUAAGGAACACAGUGAGACUCUGUCUCUAAAUAAAAUACAAAAUAGGGCUGGGGAUGUGGCUCAGUGGUUGAGUGCCCCUGUGUUGAAUUCCCAGUAAGAAUGGAUCUAAUCUUGUGGUUUGGCAUAUCUGUGAAGGCAAGGAAGUGCUUCAGGAGUUGAUUUGGUGGACAGUCUUUGCUAGGGGUAGGCAUGGGGUAACUAAGGAAAAGCUACUGUAGUUGAAGCUGUUAGGAACAAUAAUAGGUGCUAAGGAACCAUUGCAGAUGAAGCUCUUGGGGGCACCAAGUAACAGAAUGUUCUACAGACCAUCUCUUUCUAGAAUGGCAUGUUAUUCUCCUCCCCUCCUUCCCUUCCGCAAGGCCUUAUCCUAUCUGCCUAUGGGAGGUCUACCUUUCUGCCUCAUUAGCUCAAUAGAUUGCAUGCAAAGAAAUCAGGUGUGACAUUGUCUUAGAUCAUAUUUGUAGUUUUUUUACGGAAGGUAAUGAUGGUGCACUCUGAACUUUUUUGGAGGGAACUAAGUGACCUCUGGGAAAGAAGGCAGUGGUGACAUUCUUUGAGUGACCUACAGGAACACCCCCAUGAGGAAAGUCAUGAUAUUGAAAGAUUUUACCUUGUGGUAAGAUUUCCCUGUCCCUGAUCAUUUUUCAUUUUUUAACAAUUCCUAGAGGGAUCAGAAACCUUUGUAAGUAUGUGGGUGUGAGGGAAACAGCAGAAAAGAUGAGCAAGAAAGAAUGUAGUUUUUCUCUGUUCAUGGCCCUGCUUCAGCUGGGAAUAAGGGAGUUCAUUUAAGACAAAACAAGUUCGGUAUGUGAUUAUUACACAGAGUUUUACUUUCUGAUUGGAAGAUGGAGACUGUCUCUUAUAGUGAUGGUAAUAUUGUCAAAAUAGAAUAUGAUCACAUCUGUAGACAGCCUGUUCAUUCCCUUACUUAUUGCUUCCCAGAAUAAAUUGAUGAUGUUGGAGAUGGUUCAUUACAUGGGACUCGGGGGGCCGAAGGUGGAGCAGUACUUACCAUCCAUGCCCUCCUGGAGUCUCUGAACUGUAAAAUGUUAUGAUACACAAAUACAGGAAGUGAUGAAGUGGAGAGCCAGCACUGGCAGUGAAGAGCUGAGACUUUGUUCCUGGAGCAUAAAACAUACACAACUUUCUUUGCAUUUCUCCAUCCCAUCAGUUCCUGCUUUAUUCUCACCUGGGGUACUAAAAUAAUCUUGAAGUUGGUGUCCUUUCCCCAGGACAUCUACUGUCUCUCAAUCUCUUUCGCAUACUGCUCCAAAUGAUAUUUAUAAAACUGAAUUUUGUUCAUAUCAAUUCUCUUAUUAAAAUCUCUCACUGGUUCUUUACAACCCAUGGGAUUAAAUCCAAUCAUGAAGAUAAAUACAUCCUUCUAGAUCUGUUAUCUUCCUCCCUUUUUGGUUUCCAUUUCAUAUGAUCUAGAUAGUCUAAUAAGUCAUUGGAUAUUUAGAGACUAUUUCAAACUCAUAAUAAAAGUGACAAAAGAGCUUCCAAAGUACACAUUUCCAAAGUUUUAGAAUUUUUUGUGUAUCAGUCAAAUGAAUUUUUAUUACUAGGUACACUGUGCUGUGAAUUCUUGAAGAUAAAAGUUAUGUUGUAUCCUAUUCCCUGCUAUAUAUCUAAGCACAAAUGCAUAUUUUACAGAAAGAAAAAGAGAAAGCGAGCUCGUUAAUGUAAAACUACAUUAAUAGUGCAUAUAGAACAACUUAGAAGGCUCCCAGAAAGUGCAUUUUUAGUUAAAUAAAACUUCAGAGAAAAACGCUUUGUUUGAACCCCUACUGCAAAGAAUGCUUUCCAGACACCUUGUUGCUUAUUUCUUCAAGUAUGGCCCACCAGUCAUAAUUGAAUUUUUCUUAGUUGAAUACUUGAACAGUCCUUUUAGUCCCCAUUCUAUAUAAAGUUUUUUUGAGUUUGAUGUGAAUUGAGCUGAAAAAAAUAACAAAAGGAUAUGAUUAUGAUUUUAUUUAAAAAAUAAAUGCUCAUGAUUACCGUAGUUUCCCAUGAUUUACUUCUGUUUGUUGAAGUCCAAAUUCUGGUGGAUAUCAAUAAGUAUAAUGUAAAAUAUACAUUAUAAGUAAUUUGUACUCACUGGUUUAGUUGCAUUUUUAGAAAGACAGUUAAGGAAGUAAAUGUCCCAUUAGCAGUUCUCAAUCGGCUGUUAACUUGCUUAUGUGAUGAUAGAAAAAUGAAGAAAAAAAUACUGAGGACUUUAUGUAAACAUGUGCAUACUAAAAUUAAUGUAUUAAAUUAACUUAAACUCCCUUUGCACCUAAAAUAAUAAACACAAACAGGAAUUCUUUUAUUUUUUUAGUUCCUGGUACAUUACAGGCACUGUAGAAAUAUUUCUUAAUUUAAGCCUCUUACAAAUCUUUAACAUUGGCAUUGAUUCCUUUUGGAUAUAAGAAAACUGCAGUUUGAAAUCAGAGAUUCCCAAAAGUUCUCAUCACAGUGCUCUUGGUCAUCCUUAUUCUUUUUAUGACUGUUAGAUCAAAAUAAAUGCCCAAGUUUCAGUUAUUAAAUGGAGAUAGAGCCAAACAACUCAAGUGUUGAUAGGUCGCCAGUGAAGACAAAGAUGAAACCAAACUACAGUUUCUUCGAUAGUUAUCACAACAAACUGUAUAAACUGAUGCAUCAAGGAAUAAUAACUCAACAAGUAAUGCUCAUUCAAGGAGUCGAUUUAUUUUGGGAGGAAAUGGACAUAUUGAUAGAUUCCUCCACUUUGAACUGCUUGCAGAACUUGCCUGGACUAUGUAUUACUUAUAUGCAUUGUGAUCUAUCUGUUGAUGCAGCGAAUUAUGGUAAUGCUGGUGUAUCUUUGCUGAUGUGUCACCAGUGAUGCAAUUUUUCCUAAGGAGCCGUCAAUUGGCUUGGUGUCGUGGCAUUUCUGUAUCCUCCUCCCUUCUACUAGUGAUGGUCUAAUUUGGGGGCCAACAGAGUUGAGGCAAAGAACCUCACUCCCCCACCGGCACCAAGGCCAAAUUUGGGGGCCAAAAGAUGUGAGGCAAAGAACCUCACCCCCCCACUGGUGCAUAGGCCUAUCCACAAGUAUGGCUAUAUGCUGGACUGGUAGUCAGUGACGGGUAUGAUCCAAUUGCAGUGGUAUCAACCUAAGACAGGAGGCUGACGCCUAGAGGUCAGUUCAUCCCAUGACGGGUAAGAACCAUAUGUUGAAUUGGACAAACCUAACAGGCAUGGUCCCUAGCCACAUUGCUUGUUGCUUAAUUAAACAGAAGGGGGGAGAUGCUAAGAGCCACAGCCAAGUAAUAUGAUGAAUGACAUUUUUGGUUGAAAGGUGACGCCAGCAAGCCAUUGAGAUGAUAUGAUUAUGUUAAGAUCUGCAUUCAUAUGGAUAUUGGACUCCUGCUGUCCACCUCGGCCUGCUACAGGACUCCUGGAGAGUUCCCAUUGGUUGGGGAAGUGCAGUAGGAGGGAAUUCGGAGGAGGGACUUCCUGAGGGGGUCCAGGAGAAUGCUGCGUGGGUCAGUCGGCAAUCUUCCCGGGAGCUUACAGGGCAUUGGCGGCAGUUUCAAAAAUAAAGUUUGUUCCUGCUUGAGUGGCUCAUGAUUUUGUGCCCAGCCAGACUGUGGCAAUUGGACACAGUCAUUUCAUUGCCUGUUCUAUAGUGAUCUUCACAUAGUACUUUUUUUCUUAAACUUUUUUUAUUUACCACAUACACAGCUUCAGGAAAAAUACAUCAUAGGAAGAAAGAGUGUGGGAUCUAAUGUAAAACUGAGUAGACUAAAGCUAGUCAUUGUCCUGAUUCUGGCAGUUUUCGAGUAUGACUGUUUUCUUUGAGAAAUAAAAGUACCCUGGGGUUCUCAUCUGCAGAACCUCAAUGUUAUGAGUCAGGCUAUAAAGUCAAUGACCAAACAGACUUGAUUUUACCCUGAGACUCCAUGUCAUGUAAGAAAUGCUUCUUCUUUGGGAACAUCCUUCCUCUGUACACCCAUCAACAGUUGCUUAGCAUAGCAUGUUUGGCAACACAAAAUGGCAAUUCUUUAUUAUUAUUAUUAUUAUUUUUUAGUUGUUGAUGGACAUUUAUUAUUUAUUUAUUUAUAUGCAGUGCUGAGAAUCAAACCUAGUACCUCACGCACGCUAGGCAAGUGCUCUACCACUGAGCCAAGACUCCAGCCCCCAACUGGCAAUUAUUAUACAAUGUAAAAUUGUUGUCUUUUUGGUUCCCAUUUUUCUUGGACAAUGUACCCCAACUGUACCCUAACAGCAUAGAAUAUUAAUGUUUGUCUAGAUGUUUGUAACCAUUCUUUGACUUGUACUCAACUAGGAUAGUUUUGAUCCACUCUCCUUCUGCUUAUAAUUUUAGACCUCAUGAUUUUUGUUUAUGGUUUUAAAUCAUAGCAACAGCCACUUAAGAUCAAUAUACUGACAUGCAUUAAAAGGUGUGCUCUAACCCUUCAAGGGUGUCAUAUGGUGGAGACUUGCAGCCUGCUCCUUGGCCCGCCAGCUGGUGAAUGUGGACCACCAGCUGGUGAAAAAAGAUGGUUCCAACUCAGGCUUCAAGACUGAGCUGGUGAUUUAUUGCAAUCUUGCCAUAACAUCAACACUCUUUUAACUGUGUAGCAAAGUAACUUGUUUAAGACCACAUUGGCAGAAAGUAUAAAUCUGCAAUUUGAAUUCAAUUAUCUGUGACCCCAAAACAGUUUUGGGCUACUGAAAUUUCCUGGGGACUUACUGAGAGAUAAGAAGUCUCCAGGAUCACUGGAUAUCCCUAGCUUAUUAUGAUAUUAGCAUUUUCAGCUAAUAAACAGCCUUAAAUUUUGCCUAGGUGAUCCUCUAGUUACUCAAAUCUUUAUUAACUACUGUGGGGUCUAUGAGGAAAUAUUUUUAAAAUCCUCUAUUUUCCAGCAGUUUAUGUUUUCUAGUUGGGAAAAGAGCAUGGAUUUUCAAAAUUUAACUGAAGUAAACUACUAGAAUCCAUAAGUGAAAGGUCCUUGUGUUCCUUUUGUAGAAGCAUUUUCUAAAUUAUAAUUUUGCUUGCAGGAAAGUGAUGUUUAUGCCUGCAAUAAAAUGUGUAUAUUUAAUUAAAAAUGCUGGACUUUAAGGAAACAACCACUUUAAUUUCUCUGGUUAUUAUUUGAAUUUCAGUGGUUAUAGUUAUUUAAAGAAAAAUUCCCAUGUUCUGUUUUUGUUAAUGCUUAUAUAUAUUUUUACUAGCUUAUUCAUUUUAAUCAUUUUAAUAUUACUUGCUUUUUUCAAAAAUUGAAAAUGAAACAACUGAAGAUAAAGUCCUUUGUAUUUCAAAUAAAAUUGCUUUAGUAAGUUUGCAAUAAUAACGUUGGUAUAAUAAUGGAAAAUCCCAUGAGGUCCAGAAUAUUGUCAACCCACUGCCAAUCUGCUGCUGUAUAAUUUGCUUAUAUUCAAACUGUUUUUCAAGUUGUUAUAGUAAAAUAUGGUCAUGAAUUUAGAAGAUUUCUUAAAAAGUUUCCCUGCAUCACCCAAUGAAAGAUAUAAUAUUUCCUUUAUAAUGUAAUGAAUAUCAGUACUGAGCAAAUUUUCUAGAACAUAUAUUUAAAGUUAAGUUAGUUCAUCUAAGUGGAAUAAAGAUGACUCCCUUACAAAUUGAUUCUUUGUAAUAUUUAGGUGUGAAUUACACAGUGCAAGAUUUGAGAGGGGGGAGCUCAAAUGACCAUCACAGAACCUUUAGGAUUCAUUUUCAUUUCAAAUGCUGAGAAUUGUAAUUUCAAUAUUUAUCAACAUGGAAAGCAAAUCUCACUAUUGUACCAAGUUCUACAGCUUACUUUUAAGAAUCAAGACUGAAAUAAAUUGCAUAGCUUAAGCAAAGUCUCAAACUGUCUUUUGUAACUGUUUCUAUGGAUUUUAAUGAAUUUUUUUGUCAUUUAUAUGCUGUUUAUUAAAGAAUCUGUAAUAAUAAUACAUAUAUUUUUUUCUAGAAAAUAAAAACAGUAAUUUUACAAUACAUUUAAUGGCAACUGGUAGUAACAAAAUUUCUGUAUUUUCUUUACAUGUUCUUUUAGACAAGUCUGCAACUUAGUAUUGAUUAUUUGCAAGUUACCCCACUAGCUGUACUAUCAUUUUUCAAAAGGUAGAUCAUGAUAAUGUAGAAUCAUAGUCAUAAUAUGAUCAUACAAAAUGAUCAGAUUGUAAAUCAGAUUGGGUUUAUCACCAGCACUUAUAAAACCAGACCCAGGGAAAGAACUAGGUCUGGGGAUACCAUGCAUGGUCUUAAUAUAGCGAAUGUUUAGCCUGCCCUGAUUAUUACAAAAAUCAGAACAGCGAGAAUAUUCGCAGUAUUUUUUUUUAAUCCAAGAAAAAUUUUGUAGUCAUUAGCUGCAGUACUUACAUACAUUAAAAAAAAACAAAUAAAUUCUUUCAGGAGAAUACCAUUGGAUCAGUGAGUUAGUUGAUAAGCAAUGGUAGCUGCUUAUGAAAGAAAGGCAUUUUAAAAAUAUUUGGCUUUAUUUAAGCUGAGUGGCACUUUAAGCCAGAAAAAUAAGAUACAAGAGGAGUUAAUUUUAAGUAUUAAGUAUUAAGGUCAUGGAAAGAGUAUAAAUUUCAAUUUGUCUGCAGAAGUGUACUGAGAGAGUUGAAUAGUAGCUAUUAAUGUGGAAGCACAAGUUGGCCCAAGUUUCAUCAUUUAUAUUUCAUAAGAAAUCCACUGCAACCAUAUUCAUAAUUCUGAUUUGACUCCUUGGGAUUGGCUGUUUCAUAGGAGUCAACGUUGGCUUUCUUAUCUCUUCUUGGUUUCUAUAUUCUUUGGGAUUUGUGUUCCUCAUUGCCAGCACAGGAUUUUUCUUUCCUUUCCUUUUUCUUUGGGUUCUGAUGGCGGUGCCUUCCACGAGCAUAGUUAGAAUAGGCAACUAAUGGUCUUUUCUACAUACACUAAAAAAUAACAUUUAUCCAGCAUCUGUGAUGGUUUGGAUGUGAGGUGUUUUCCAAGAAAGCUCAUGUUAGACAAUGUAGGAAUUGUCAGAGGUGAAAUGAUUAGAUUAUAAGAAUUGAAUCAGUAUAUUAAUAUACUUCAUGGGUUAAUAAUUUAAAUGGAAUUCGGUGUGCUAACUCUAGACAGAGUGUUGCUGAAGGAAGUAUACACUGGAGGGAUGCCGGGGAUUAUAACUUGCAACUGCCUUCUUACCUAUUCACUGUCUGCUUACUGGUUUCCAUGAGCUGGGAAUCUUUCCUCCAACACAACCUUCACCCAAGAUAUAAUGCCUUACUUUGGUCCCACAGCAAUGGAGCCAACUGAUCAUGGACUGAACCUAUGAAACCUUGACCCCAAAAUAAAAUUUUCCUGCUCUAAAUAAUUCUUGUCAGGUAUUUUGGUCAUACUGAUGAAAAGCUAACACAGCAUCUAAUAAUCUGUUAUUCAAGAUAACCAAUAUAACCUGGUACAGUAUGACACAAAGUCACUGGGGCAUAUAAGAAUAGAAAAGUAUUUCAGGAUAGUAAAACAAGGAGAGACGCUAGAAUAUAACCAUUCUUAUAAAGAACAUUCUUAUUUGUACUAACCUAGAUUGGUUAUGGGCAUUUACAAUUGUUAAUUGAUGGCUACAUUGGAUAACUGUAUCAUCUAAUUUUAUGCCAUCCAAAAGUAAUAACGAUCUCAGGAUAUGUCUUUUAUCAUGUCAUUGCUAAGUGAUUUUUCUAUUUGUUUUUCCAUUCAAGUAAUUAUUCUCUUAACUAGAGAAUCUUUUUUUAAAAAAGUAAAAUAAAAUUGGGGACAAUUAUAAGGUAGUAGAAAGUUUUCAAUAAAGAUUGGGUAUGCCUGAGAUUUAGUUUGUAUCUGCUUUAGUGUAUUAGUUUGCUGGGGAUUCCAUAAUAAAGUACUUUAGAUUGGAGAGUUUAAACAAAAGAAAGUUUUCACAAUUCUGGAGGUUAGAAGUUUAAGAUCAAGGUGUUCACAGGGUUAGUUUUUGGAUAGCUGUUUCCUUAAUUUGUAGGUGGGUGUUUUCCCUCCAUGUAUUCACUCUGUCCUAAUUUUAUCUUCUUGUAAAGACAUCAUGAUAUUGGAUGAGGGACUACUCUCAUGAUUUAAUGAUCCUAGUUAGCUAAUUUUAACUUAAUUACCUUUCUAAUAAGCCUACCUCCAAAUAUCAUCAUUCUGAGGUAGUUGGGGGUUAGCACUUCCACAUGUGAAUUUAUGGAGGAUAGGUUCUAUAGCCCUUAACAAUUAGCUUUGGUGAUUUUGUUUUGUUUUAUUGGUGGAUUAUUCUUAUACAAAAUAAUGGGAAGUAUUGAUACAUUCUUAUAUCCACAUAAAAUUAUUGGGUUAAUUUCAUUGCCCGUCAAUUCCCCUUUCCCUUCUCUCCUCUGUUUCCCAGUCCCCAUCUUUUACUAUACUGGUUAGUCUCCCUUCUUUAUUCAUGAACGUCUUUUUUUUUUCCCUUUUUUUUUUUUCUGUUGUCUACAUGUGAGAUAAAACACAUGCCCUUUACCUUCUGAAUCUGGCUUAUUUUACUUGACAUAAUAUUCUCCAGUUCAGUCCAUUUUCCUGAAAAUUAUAUAAUUUUGUGCUUCUUUAUGACUGGGUGUUGCUGUUGAGAUAUUCUACGCCCCCCUUCCCCCGAAAAAUAAAACAUCAUGUGGUAGGCAAUGUUGGAAUGUUCAGAAGUGAGAUGAUUAGAUUAUGAGAGCUGUAACCACAUCACUGGAUUAGUCUAUUUCACAGAUUCAUAAUCUGAAUGCACUACUAGGCUGUGGGGUGUGACUAAAGGAAGUACUCUUGGGAUAUGCCCUUGGACUAUAUUUUGUUCUCUUUUUUUGUUGUUGUUGUUCUGUUUCUUCACUGCCAUGAAAUCAGUAGCCUCUUCUACCAUGCUCUUCCUGCAUGAUGUUCUGUCUCAUCUCAGGUUGAGAGCAAUGGAGUUGGCCAACCAAGGAAAGAUCCCCAAAUUAACUUUUCCUCCUCUAAGUUGUUUUUCCAGGUAUUUUGGUCAAAACAUUGAAAAGCUGACCAACACACUAUGUAAAUCUCCAUUUCAUUCAUAUAUAUAUAUAUAUAUAUAUAUAUAUAUAUAUAUAUGAAUAAACAAAAUGGUAUAUAUAUAUACUUUGUUUAUUCAUUUUGUUUAUUCAUUUUUUUUUUGUUGAUGGACACCUAAGUUGGUAUCAUAACUUGGCUAUUGUCAAUUGCACUGUCAUAAACAUGGGUAUGUAUGUAUCACUAUAGUGUUCUGACUUCAGUGCUUUUGAAUAAAUACCUAGGAAUGAUAUAGCUGGGAAAAGUGCCAAUUCCAUACUUAGUAUUUUGAGAACCUCCACACUGAUUUCCACUGUGACUGUACUAAUUUACAAUCCAUUUUGUGACUUUCUAGACUUCAGUAAGAAGUUUUUAGUUUUAUUCUCUACAAAAAAUCUGGGUGUUUAGCAUUCAUAUGGUCUCACAUCCUUGAGGAAUGUGAUGAUUAUAUCAGCCUUGUUUCCCAUUGUAUGAAAAAAAAAAACCUGUUGGAAAAAAUUGGAUUUUGAACAUAUUCAAUAUGUUGACUUCUGGUGAUCACAAUAAUGGUAAUAAAAAGUGAGAUUUUCAAAUGCCUUCUGAGUCAAUAAAGAUUUUAAUUACAUAUAUAUGCAUAUAUAUUAAUCAAAAUGAUAUGAAAAUUUAAAAUUUAGAGCUGAUAUUUAAUGUGUACAUGUCCAUGUGUAAUGCACUUGACUAUUUGUGUUAAACUGUCACAUCUUUAAUAUUUCACAUUUAUGGAUUGUCAUAAAUUUUGUGAAAUUAGAAGGGAAAGCAUUACAUCUGUUCAGUUUUACGAAAUCUAAAAAUAAAAUACAAUGAUGGUGUAAUAUCUAAAAUCGCACAUUUAAUGACAAGCAAAGCUCAGACUCAUAGUUGAAGUUCUUCAGAUAUUAAACCCUGCUCUUUACAAACUAUAUGAUAUUCCUUCUUUGAGAAUACUAGAAGAAAAUUUUGAACAAACAUUUUCAUUUAAGCCCUUGCCAAGUUUAUAUAGAAUCUUCUUUGAUUUAAAUACCCCUACAAUGAUUUAUGUUAAAUUUAAUCUCUGUGGUGAGGUAUCAAGCAUGGAAGAGUAAUCUGUGGUAUUUAAAGAUGGGAGAUUUGGGAGGUAAUUAGGGUUAAAUGAGGUCAACAGAUUUGACCAGUAGCCCAAUGGCACUGCAGUUUUGUAAGAAGAGGAUUCUUGAACUAGGAUGCUCUGUUUUUUUGUGUGAUGCCUUGGCUAUCUGCAGAGUCCUUACCAUGCAAGAAAGACCUUCCCAAUGCAGCCACCUAGGCUUGAACUUUCCGGUCUUUAGAAUUGUGAGUUGAAUAAAAUUUGAUUCUCCAUAAGUUAUUCUACAAUAUUCAGUUAGAGCAACAACAACAACAACAAACAAAUAAACAAAACCAGCCUACAAAAGAGCCUUUACUAAAGAGGAAAAGGAAUUUAAAUUUUAAGAGAAUAAAACAAGAUGCUAAAUUGGUAGACAUAGAAAGAGAUGACAUUCACUAGAGCAAAUAAACACUGAGUAAACACAGAAUUCUGUUACUGUCGUUAAAGGGUUAAAAAUAUUUCUCAGUGCUGAGACUGAGGCUGUGGCUCAGUGGUAAAGGGCUCUCCUGGUGUGUGUGAGGCACUGGGUUCGAUUCUCAGCACCACAUAUAAAUAAAUAAAAGCUUAUCAACAAUUAAAAAUAAAACAAAGUAGCCAAUACUCUUUAAAAAUAUUUCUCAAAAGAAAUUAAGUGCAGAAAAUUAGAAAAAAAGAAAAAAAAUGAAUGAGAGGAGAUAAAUUCAAUUUAUGGAACUAUAAGUGAAAUUUUUAUUAACCUGAAUUACAAUAUAAAUGCAAAUACUAAAUCAACAUAUCCAGUUAGCUAGAGAUUUGCUGCAGGUGGAAAAAGAAAUCCAUCUGACAAGUCCAUACUAAACCUUAUGCCUGUUACUUAGCAUAUAGACAAAAUUAUUCCAAAUAUCAUUAAACUUUCUCCAUCUGCAAAUCUAUUUAUCACAUUUUGUUUUUAUAUAUUCUAUGAAAAAAGUUCCUCAAAGAAAUACCAUAAUCACUCCAUUUCUUAUGUUCUUAGUGUAUUAUUCACUGAAAUACACCAAGAUUAAGUCUAAGCAUAGAAUAAUUAGUUUUCAUGCAUUAUCAAAUUAUUAACUACAUUCCUGACUUCUGGCUAGUGUCAAGUCCUUUCUUCUACUAACAAUGUGGAUACUUCAAGUAGUUGGACGUUAUUAUUACUUAAAUAUUAGGUGUCCCCAAAAAGCACAUGUAUGAGACAAUGCAAGAAAGUUUCGAGGUGAAAUGAUUUGUGUCAUGAGAGCCUAAAUCCUUAAAUAGGGAUUAAUUGGAUGGUAACUGGGCAGGUAGGGGUGGCUGGAGGAGGUGUGUUCCUGGGGGCAUGCCUUUGGCGUAUACAUUUUAUCAUUGUUGAGCACACACCCCUCUUACCCUUUCUCUCUCCCUUUCUCUCCCCAACUCCCUCCUUCCCCGCUCCUCUCCCUUCCUAGUUGUUUUCCCAGCUGUUUUCUUCCAUCGCUCUCUUCUGCCUCACCUCAGGUCCCAGAGAAUGGAGUCAGGUAUCUAUGUUCUAGGGCCUCUGACCCCAUGAGCCCCCCUUCUUCCUCUGUAUGUUCUUGUUAGGUCUUUUGAUCACAAUAGUGAAAAAACUGGCUAAAACAGUUAUACUGGUGCCAGUGGCUAUAUUUGCUUCAGUAAAAGAUUUCCUUCUUUAUUUUAAAGUAAGCUCUCAGAUAAGGGAUAGGCAGUGAUUGUAGUCUUUAUCAAUAUUAAACAAUUAAAAAAAAUUAAGACUUUUUUCUAAAUUAGUUUGGAUAAAGAUUUUAAACUCUCAAGACAUCCACAAAAUUCUAAAACAUUUGAUCAAUCUGAUUUUCCUGCUUUCUCUCAUCUCUGCCACUUCCAAAUACACACAUAAUGGAGUGUUUCUGCAUUUUAUCAUUUUUUAGUAAACACUGGAAGGAAGGCAGUGUAGUACAGGCAAUGAGUGUACAGCAUGUUGGCUUUGAAGAGUUCGAGGGUCCUAUUCUGUCAUUUUCAUCACCAUUUGUCUAGCCAAGGUGUGAAUGCACACUAUCCCAACAUAGUGUGAAUGAUGGAGAGUUAUAGGAGAAGGAAAUUGUGUGAUAGGUUAAGCAAUGGGCAUAUCCCAUAGUAUAGAAAAGAAAAGUUUCUGAAAAAAUAUUAAUGACAAUUUGGAACAGAAUAUACACCAGCAAAGAAUCACACUCAAAAUUGUUAAGGCAGAUAGGCUCUUAGUGACAUCAGAGGAACAGGUAAGCAGGCUGACUAGUCAGGGAGGCAGAGAUGAGAGAAAAGCAAGUGUGAGCAGAUUCCUGGGCUCCCAUGCUUCUUUGCAUCCCUAUUUUACUCUCUCCAUCCAUGUCAAGGCCACCUCCCAUGAUUCAGAUUUCUUCCUUGCUUCUCCUACUUACAUAUUUGUCAGUUACUUGCCCCAUUCUCUUAGCAAUCACAUUCUUUGACACUAGUAAUUAGAUCAGUUAAUUUACUAAGCAACACCAGUGGUUGAAGCUAACUCACUGCCUCUUCCUGACAGAGUGCAUUUGUAACACACUCCACAUGUGCACACUCACAUUUCACCUAUGUAUGUACAGGACCACGGUGCAUUUGUCUGGAGCAGGCAGGCAGGCAGGCAGGAAGUGAAAUACUUUAGGAAAAAAGGUUUGCUCUUCUCCAGUGAAUGCCCAUCUUCUGCUAAUGGGUACUGAGAGGUAUUUGUCUCAUCCCAGUGAUUCAGCUGUGACUGGAGAGAAAGAGAUUGAUAAAGGAGGGAAGGAAAUGCCAUGGGGAAAUGCAGCAGAUAGGGCUCAAACUUUGGGGGCCAAGUAGAGUUUCUGCAGGUUUAUUGAUUUUCUUUUUGAAAUACUAUUUGAAAGGCUUCUCUCAAAGUUCAUGAGUGAGGACAUUUUUAAGCAAGACUGUGGCAAAGACAUGUUUAUGGUUGACACUGUGUCAUUUCCCAGUUUAUGGUACCCAUUUGGGGAAUAUGUUUAUACCCUUCUUAGUGCUGGCAUUUACCAAGCAAAGAUGCCACUUGGAAAGGGUGAUUUAUUUUUUGCACCAUUAUAUUUUGAAAGACUUUCAGGUUACAAGAACCCUUUGAAGUUAAAGCCCGUGAUGUUAAGAUUAAUAACAGUAAUUAUAGGGCUCUGUAAUAGUAGAAAAAUCUGUAGCUUGCCUUUGAGAUUGAAUAUGAAAGGUUCCAGGUCCAAGGGAGUAAUAAAAGCUUUUUCUUUCUGCAAGGACAGCCAGGAACAGGAAGAAGUUUCUUCCUGGAAAAUACACAGGGGUGUUGAAUGUUCAAGUUUUUCUGAAGAUAAGGUGAUCCUCUGUAACCUGGCCCCAGGGACUACUUUAGGUCAUAAUCACUUUUGUUUGAUCUUUUUUGUUUUGCUUUGUUUAUAAUGUCAAUGCUCACCUGGGAAAUUAGGAUUGUUUUGACCCUUUCUCCCUUGCUGCAUACUUCAAAGUGUGCUCUGAUUUAAAAUGUUCUUCCUGGUAGCUGUGGAGAAAAUUGUCCCCCUAAAAAACCCUUUAAGUUCUUGUGAUAAUGAGAAAUGGCCAAAUUAAAUACUAUUCUAAUGAUUUUCUCCCAUUCACUAAACUUUUUAGGAAGCCCUUUGAGAGGAAGGAGAGGAAAAAGUAUAUGAUAAAUGAGGUGGAAAAAUUAGUGGGAAGUAAGUGAUAAUGAAUGAACAAGGGGUGAAGGGGAAAAUAUAAGCAAAAAGGUGAAGAAUAGCUUGGAAAAAUAAAGAGGUGGAAAUUGUGUAAGAAAUAAAGAAAUGAAGAGAGAAAAAAAGCAAGACACAGACAGGAAGAAGAAGUGAAAGAGGAGGUGGGCAAUUCUUUUCUCUUUUUUUUCACAGUCUUCACACAAAAGAAGAACUGAAAUUCAAGCUCAAAUAUAGAAUCUGAGCAUUGCAUCACCCACAAUCUAUAACAGGAAAAGAUAUAUUUGGAAAUGUACAAACAGAAAGUUUGUGCUUGAUAGUAUUCCUCAGACUGCAUAAGAAAAACAAUAAUGCCAGGUCUCAAGUGUAGAAAGACAUGGGGAAGCCUGAACCUGGGAAGUCACACAGGGCACACAAUGACUUGGGAAUACUUUGUCCUCUCCUUAGGGGACUCUGGAAUCCCUCAUGGGCAUGUACCUCAUCUGGAGAACUUUUGUAUCUACAUACUCUUUCCCUUGUCCUUGUAAGUCUAUCUUUAAUCUUUCCAUUCUUUCUUUUUAUAAAAAAUUCUUCUCCGUUUUUUUCCUUCUUAAAAAAUCUAUGAUAGAUCGAAUUAUGUUUUCCAAUUCCUCACCCCUCUCCCCCCACCCCAUAUCCACACCCUUUUCCAUGUAAUGUUUAAAUUCUUCCCACUAGUUGCAAGAUGUGCCCACUUCUACCCAUUGACUUUGGGCUUGGUCAUGACGAGGAUGUCAACAGAUAUGAUGCAAGUGGUUUAGAAAUGCUUCUUGGGCCUACGCUCUUGUGCUUCUGCUGAUGCCAUGAGAGGAAUGUGUCUCAAUUAUUUUCCAAGGUCUCAAUAAAUGAAAAACAUUUAGACUAGAUAUAAAGAAGACAGGUAGAAUGGAGUGAAACCCAGAAGAAUUCAGCAACCAAGGUCAGCAAAAAUAUUCUAGUCAAACCACAGCUGCAUGAACAGAAAAUAAUUGCUCAUUAUUUCAGGUAGUAAAAUUUUGGGAAAGUUGUUGCAAUAUAGUAUUUUUUAAAAAUGCUGUUUUGACCCAGUUUUAAGAUUCUGGCUAUAGGCAAGUCAGUUCCCCUUCUUGAACAGUUAAUGAAGUCCACGUCCUACCCAUUUCCUUUAAUGGACUUUCACAUGCAUCCCCUCUAAUCACUGUGGGAUCAGGCACUUGAUAACUAGGACCAUCCCAGAGAUCACAGAAAUUAUUCCAAUUAGUCAAUCCACCAAAGCUUGAAAACCUAACUGUACAUUACUUGCCUUAGAUAAGUGGUUUCCCCAAAGCUCCAGCUUACAGUUCCCCUGUGCUCUUUUAUCUAUCCAAAUAUCUGUGUGCUGUGGCCCACCAUCAAACAGUUCUUUAAAUCUUAAAAAACAGUUGUUAUGAAAUAUUAUUGAAGCAAUAUAUGCCUGAAAUAGCCACUCACUUUAAAACACUUAGGAUAAAACCACACUUCUCAGCAUCAUUGGAUAGUAUAGCAAAUCACUAUGCCCUUUUCUGCCCUUGAUCUCACACACCUUUCCUAUCAUGUUGUUUGAUGUGUGAAGUGAUAACAAUGUUUGGUUGAAUUAAAUAAAAGGAAGUUUGAAAUAAUCAUAGAACUUUAUAGAUAUUGGGAGAGACAGAAAAGCAAUUUAAUUCCUUUCAACUAAUAACAUAAACCCAUUACUUCCCUUUCUUUCUUCUAACUGUUCUUUCUAUGGUAUUAGGUAAAGAAAGACCACAGAGUUUGAGAAUAUGACUUUAUUUCACCUAUUCUUUCAUAAGUUACAGUACUAUUGGCAUGACACUCAUUUUGAGUUCCUGUUUUCUAAUGAAGUAAUCAUGAAAAGUCUUUAUAAAAGCAAGGGAUAUACAAUUGAUAUUUAGAGAUGUGAAUUAAUAAGACAAUGCUUUUAAGAGUUUCAUCAAUUUCAAAAUAGUUCAUUAACUAUUUACAAUUAUGAUUAGUAUGUUAGUCAUAAAGUUGUAAAUGUGAGUGCUUCAUAAACUAGAGCUUCUAUCUUACAAUAAGAAAUUUCCAACUAAUUGAAGCACCCAUCUAGUAACAAAUGUCAAACAGCCUAAUAUGUUUGCCAUAAACCCAGGAAGAUCUGACAACUGAAGAGGUUUUUUGUCAGGAAAAAUUCUCCAUCCACUUGCUAUCUCAUAAUUUCAUAUGACCUUAUGUUGAGUCUCUGAAGAAAGACAAAAGUGAAAUAUGAAAUUUGGAAGAACUUGGAUGGAGUAUCUUGGUUGAAAUUUUGAUUUCCCCUAUCACUAUUUGAUGGCUCAGAAUUACAUCAUUCAUGCAUGUGAAGGCAUUCAGCUUAAAUUUUUCUUCCUUUCUUUCUUUCUUUCCUUCUUUCUUUCUUUCUUUUUUUAAGGUACACAUGUCUUCUAUGUAUUCAGAACUCAAAGAAAGAAUAGUCACAUACUUCAGUGGAAUAGUUUGGCAGGAAAGUAAAUGCAAUUUGUACUGAGAUAUUCUAUGCUUUGAAUUCUGGUUAUGCUAUUUGCUACUUUUACUACUGUAGGAAAUUCACAUAACUUCUUUGAAUAUAAUUUUUCUCAUUUAUAAAUUAGGAUAUUAAUUUCAACAUCAAGGAAUUAUUGAAGUUAGUAAGGGUCACAGAGAAAAAUAUUGAAUCCAUCUUCUGACACAUAGUAAGUGCUUAGAUCUUUAUAGUAUCUAAAAAGGCAAUGAUAAAGGAGAGCAACAAAUAGAGAAGAUGAAAUUAAAAAGAGAAGGAUUAGUGUUGUUACAUCAUCUCUCUGAUAACUCAACAAGAAUGGAAAAUUAUCUGUCUCUUAUUAAUUCUUUAACCACUUGAUUAUUCAACAUUUUUGAUACCAAUCAUGUCCUUGGCAGUGUGGAAGUCACUGAUGCAGUUACAAAGAUAUAUGACAUCUAUGAGGCCAUUAAUAACAUCUCCUUCCAGGAAGAGAUGAGGCACUAUUACACAUAACUAUAAGUCAAAAUUUCCCAACAAGCUCACCAUCAGAAAUCUAUUUACAUGAGACCCAGGGGUCUAUUUUCAAGUUAGUUUAAAUACAUGCACAGAGGACUCCUCAUUCACCCUUGAAAAUUCACAAAUUGAGGCUUCUCUGAGUGCUUCCUGUGCAAUUGGUAGGGAACAAGGAUCCAUUGUUCUAAGCGAAUUUUCCUCUUCGAUGACUUGUGAGACUACUGUUGCACACAACACCUUUUGCAAAAUGCUUCUAAAAUGAAGGUAGAAAGUGAUAAGCAACAUAAGGAAAGAUCAUUCAUAGGAUGUUGAUGUGGGAGAAAUUACAUCUUUUCCAGGGAAGAGACUGGAAGGAUUACGGACAAAAGAGCCACUUUAGAGUGAGACUUAAAACAUGAUUAGGGACUGCAGAAGUAGAAACUGCAUAGAGAAAUUACUAAAUUAAAAGGAGACAUGAAGUUUAUAAAAUCUACACAUAAAUGGAUUUAUGUGCCAAGUAAGGGUAAAAUGAAGUGAUUUCUGAAAUGAUCAACUCAAAAUGUUUUUAAUUCUGAAAAUCACGAGUUUAUUCCAUCAGCUCUGAAAAACUGCUGACGAUUUUGAGCAGGAAAGACCAUUGACCUGAAUUAUGUUUGGGAAGAUCAAUCCAGCAGUUGUAUAUAGAACAUAUUAGAAAAAGAGAAAAGUAGCAGGUAUACAACUUGCAAAGAAUCAUGAAUAAGUACAAUGAUCAUCCCUUCUUUUCCACCAACUGAGAUGCCAUUCAAAUUCCUCCUCCUGCUCUCCCAAGAAAGAGAAGGCCUUCAUUAUAGACCUGGAAGAAGGAUGGGCCUGAGUUUAUUUACCUGACCUUCAGAGGAAUUCAGUCUAGAAUUUACUAUAUGUCUCAUAGUGAAGACAUUGACUGUUAUAACUUUUCUCUCCAAAAAUUACUGGCAUAAUAAAAAAUAUUGAUAAAGUUUAUCAAGACAUAUAAAGGAUAUUUUCAUGUUAUUUUGAAACAAAUCACAUAUGCAAAUUAAGGAUAUUUAUGGAAUGAGAAGAACAUUAGCAAUAUGAAGUAUGCUUCUUAGUUUCUGGGAGAACCCAUUUCCUUUUGUAAAAUAAUGGUGACAAUUAUAUACACCUUCAUAAUUAUAGUUAUUUUCUAUUGAGUGCAUUUCAAGCAUUAGGACUUAUUCAUGGUGCCUAAUAUUUAUUAUUGCAUUCGAAUUUUAAAAUACCAAUGAGGCUAAAGUUUCACAUGAGGUUAAGCUGAGAUUGGGAUGUGUUACAAAAAAGCACUCUUGACACGGUCUCAGCAAACUAUAGAAUAAUUGCAGAAUAGGACUCAGUUGUUGCCUAGAAGAACAAAGCACUUAUUCUGAGCUUUUUAGUAUUAAAUAAUACUAGAUUCUCCAGUAAGGAAUUUACCCCACUGCUUAGGCUCAAAGUCUAAGAAAGUCUUCCUUUUCCUUUUAAAAAAUGUUUUUCUGAGCUAAUAUCUUGCAAGAAGCAUUAUUAUCUUUCAACACUGAAUCUGCCUGUUACACCAAUGUGACAUUUGUUUACCAACUUCAGUAUGCAUCCAUCAUGAAAAUAAGAUUGGAAUCAACCAAAGUGCCCAUUUACAGGAGAAUGGAUGAAAAAAAAUGGUCUAUACACACAUACACAAACACAAACACACACACAUACACACACAUACACACACAUACACAUUAUGGAAUAUAUUUAUAUUGAAGAAUAUGAUCCUGCCAUUUUAAAUAACGAAUGGAUAGUCAUUAUGUUUAGUAUAAUAAAGCAGAUACAGGAAGACAGAUACCACAUGUUCUCACUCAUUUGAGCAAACUAAAAAGUCAGUCAUUCAGAAGGUGGAGUGGAAAGGUGGACACAAAGAUUCGAAGGGCAGGGAAAGUAGAACAGGAAGAGGUUAGAUAAAUGGCACCAAACCAGUUGGACUGGUGGAAUUAGUUUUGAUUUUCUAUACCACACUAACGUAACUAUUGUCUAUAUAAAUCUAUGGAAUAGUUAAAAAAAACUAGAAAAGCAAUACAUUUAUCAACACAUGGAAAUGAUUAAUAUUUGAGGAGAUGAAAGUGCCUAGUACUCUAAUUUAAUCAUUACACAUUGUGCACAUAUAUCAAAUUUUAUAUCAUACUCCAUAAAUAUGUACAAAUAUUAUGUCUCAAUAAAAGUAAAUUUAAAAUACCAUAAGUUUUUUUUUAAAGUGGCUCUUUUGUCCGUAAUCCUUCCAGUCUCUUCCCUGGAAAAGAUGUAAUUUCUCCCACAUCAACAUCCUAUGAAUGAUCUUUCCUUAUGUUGCUUAUCACUUUCUACCUUCAUUUUAGAAGCAUUUUGCAAAAGGUGUUGUGUGCAACAGUAGUCUCACAAGUCAUCGAAGAGGAAAAUUCGCUUAGAACAAUGGAUCCUUGUUCCCUACCAAUUGCACAGGAAGCACUCAGAGAAGCCUCAAUUUGUGAAUUUUCAAGGGUGAAUGAGGAGUCCUCUGUGCAUGUAUUUAAACUAACUUGAAAAUAGACCCCUGGGUCUCAUGUAAAUAGAUUUCUGAUGGUGAGCUUGUUGGGAAAUUUUGACUUAUAGUUAUGUGUAAUAGUGCCUCAUCUCUUCCUGGAAGGAGAUGUUAUUAAUGGCCUCAUAGAUGUCAUAUAUCUUUGUAACUGCAUCAGUGACUUCCACACUGCCAAGGACAUGAUUGGUAUCAAAAAUGUUGAAUAAUCAAGUGGUUAAAGAAUUAAUAAGAGACAGAUAAUUUUCCAUUCUUGUUGAGUUAUCAGAGAGAUGAUGUAACAACACUAAUCCUUCUCUUUUUAAUUUCAUCUUCUCUAUUUGUUGCUCUCCUUUAUCAUUGCCUUUUUAGAUACUAUAAAGAUCUAAGCACUUACUAUGUGUCAGAAGAUGGAUUCAAUAUUUUUCUCUGUGACCCUUACUAACUUCAAUAAUUCCUUGAUGUUGAAAUUAAUAUCCUAAUUUAUAAAUGAGAAAAAUUAUAUUCAAAGAAGUUAUGUGAAUUUCCUACAGUAGUAAAAGUAGCAAAUAGCAUAACCAGAAUUCAAAGCAUAGAAUAUCUCAGUACAAAUUGCAUUUACUUUCCUGCCAAACUAUUCCACUGAAGUAUGUGACUAUUCUUUCUUUGAGUUCUGAAUACAUAGAAGACAUGUGUACCUUAAAAAAAGAAAGAAAGAAAGAAGGAAAGAAAGAAAGAAAGGAAGAAAAAUUUAAGCUGAAUGCCUUCACAUGCAUGAAUGAUGUAAUUCUGAGCCAUCAAAUAGUGAUAGGGGAAAUCAAAAUUUCAACCAAGAUACUCCAUCCAAGUUCUUCCAAAUUUCAUAUUUCACUUUUGUCUUUCUUCAGAGACUCAACAUAAGGUCAUAUGAAAUUAUGAGAUAGCAAGUGGAUGGAGAAUUUUUCCUGACAAAAAACCUCUUCAGUUGUCAGAUCUUCCUGGGUUUAUGGCAAACAUAUUAGGCUGUUUGACAUUUGUUACUAGAUGGGUGCUUCAAUUAGUUGGAAAUUUCUUAUUGUAAGAUAGAAGCUCUAGUUUAUGAAGCACUCACAUUUACAACUUUAUGACUAACAUACUAAUCAUAAUUGUAAAUAGUUAAUGAACUAUUUUGAAAUUGAUGAAACUCUUAAAAGCAUUGUCUUAUUAAUUCACAUCUCUAAAUAUCAAUUGUAUAUCCCUUGCUUUUAUAAAGACUUUUCAUGAUUACUUCAUUAGAAAACAGGAACUCAAAAUGAGUGUCAUGCCAAUAGUACUGUAACUUAUGAAAGAAUAGGUGAAAUAAAGUCAUAUUCUCAAACUCUGUGGUCUUUCUUUACCUAAUACCAUAGAAAGAACAGUUAGAAGAAAGAAAGGGAAGUAAUGGGUUUAUGUUAUUAGUUGAAAGGAAUUAAAUUGCUUUUCUGUCUCUCCCAAUAUCUAUAAAGUUCUAUGAUUAUUUCAAACUUCCUUUUAUUUAAUUCAACCAAACAUUGUUAUCACUUCACACAUCAAACAACAUGAUAGGAAAGGUGUGUGAGAUCAAGGGCAGAAAAGGGCAUAGUGAUUUGCUAUACUAUCCAAUGAUGCUGAGAAGUGUGGUUUUAUCCUAAGUGUUUUAAAGUGAGUGGCUAUUUCAGGCAUAUAUUGCUUCAAUAAUAUUUCAUAACAACUGUUUUUUAAGAUUUAAAGAACUGUUUGAUGGUGGGCCACAGCACACAGAUAUUUGGAUAGAUAAAAGAGCACAGGGGAACUGUAAGCUGGAGCUUUGGGGAAACCACUUAUCUAAGGCAAGUAAUGUACAGUUAGGUUUUCAAGCUUUGGUGGAUUGACUAAUUGGAAUAAUUUCUGUGAGCUCUGGGAUGGUCCUAGUUAUCAAGUGCCUGAUCCCACAGUGAUUAGAGGGGAUGCAUGUGAAAGUCCAUUAAAGGAAAUGGGUAGGACGUGGACUUCAUUAACUGUUCAAGAAGGGGAACUGACUUGCCUAUAGCCAGAAUCUUAAAACUGGGUCAAAACAGCAUUUUUAAAAAAUACUAUAUUGCAACAACUUUCCCAAAAUUUUACUACCUGAAAUAAUGAGCAAUUAUUUUCUGUUCAUGCAGCUGUGGUUUGACUAGAAUAUUUUUGCUGACCUUGGUUGCUGAAUUCUUCUGGGUUUCACUCCAUUCUACCUGUCUUCUUUAUAUCUAGUCUAAAUGUUUUUCAUUUAUUGAGACCUUGGAAAAUAAUUGAGACACAUUCCUCUCAUGGCAUCAGCAGAAGCACAAGAGCGUAGGCCCAAGAAGCAUUUCUAAACCACUUGCAUCAUAUCUGUUGACAUCCUCGUCAUGACCAAGCCCAAAGUCAAUGGGUAGAAGUGGGCACAUCUUGCAACUAGUGGGAAGAAUUUAAACAUUACAUGGAAAAGGGUGUGGAUAUGGGGUGGGGGGAGAGGGGUGAGGAAUUGGAAAACAUAAUUCGAUCUAUCAUAGAUUUUUUAAGAAGGAAAAAAACGGAGAAGAAUUUUUUAUAAAAAGAAAGAAUGGAAAGAUUAAAGAUAGACUUACAAGGACAAGGGAAAGAGUAUGUAGAUACAAAAGUUCUCCAGAUGAGGUACAUGCCCAUGAGGGAUUCCAGAGUCCCCUAAGGAGAGGACAAAGUAUUCCCAAGUCAUUGUGUGCCCUGUGUGACUUCCCAGGUUCAGGCUUCCCCAUGUCUUUCUACACUUGAGACCUGGCAUUAUUGUUUUUCUUAUGCAGUCUGAGGAAUACUAUCAAGCACAAACUUUCUGUUUGUACAUUUCCAAAUAUAUCUUUUCCUGUUAUAGAUUGUGGGUGAUGCAAUGCUCAGAUUCUAUAUUUGAGCUUGAAUUUCAGUUCUUCUUUUGUGUGAAGACUGUGAAAAAAAAGAGAAAAGAAUUGCCCACCUCCUCUUUCACUUCUUCUUCCUGUCUGUGUCUUGCUUUUUUUCUCUCUUCAUUUCUUUAUUUCUUACACAAUUUCCACCUCUUUAUUUUUCCAAGCUAUUCUUCACCUUUUUGCUUAUAUUUUCCCCUUCACCCCUUGUUCAUUCAUUAUCACUUACUUCCCACUAAUUUUUCCACCUCAUUUAUCAUAUACUUUUUCCUCUCCUUCCUCUCAAAGGGCUUCCUAAAAAGUUUAGUGAAUGGGAGAAAAUCAUUAGAAUAGUAUUUAAUUUGGNNNNNNNNNNNNNNNNNNNNNNNNNNNNNNNNNNNNNNNNNNNNNNNNNNNNNNNNNNNNNNNNNNNNNNNNNNNNNNNNNNNNNNNNNNNNNNNNNNNNNNNNNNNNNNNNNNNNNNNNNNNNNNNNNNNNNNNNNNNNNNNNNNNNNNNNNNNNNNNNNNNNNNNNNNNNNNNNNNNNNNNNNNNNNNNNNNNNNNNNNNNNNNNNNNNNNNNNNNNNNNNNNNNNNNNNNNNNNNNNNNNNNNNNNNNNNNNNNNNNNNNNNNNNNNNNNNNNNNNNNNNNNNNNNNNNNNNNNNNNNNNNNNNNNNNNNNNNNNNNNNNNNNNNNNNNNNNNNNNNNNNNNNNNNNNNNNNNNNNNNNNNNNNNNNNNNNNNNNNNNNNNNNNNNNNNNNNNNNNNNNNNNNNNNNNNNNNNNNNNNNNNNNNNNNNNNNNNNNNNNNNNNNNNNNNNNNNNNNNNNNNNNNNNNNNNNNNNNNNNNNNNNNNNNNNNNNNNNNNNNNNNNNNNNNNNNNNNNNNNNNNNNNNNNNNNNNNNNNNNNNNNNNNNNNNNNNNNNNNNNNNNNNNNNNNNNNNNNNNNNNNNNNNNNNNNNNNNNNNNNNNNNNNNNNNNNNNNNNNNNNNNNNNNNNNNNNNNNNNNNNNNNNNNNNNNNNNNNNNNNNNNNNNNNNNNNNNNNNNNNNNNNNNNNNNNNNNNNNNNNNNNNNNNNNNNNNNNNNNNNNNNNNNNNNNNNNNNNNNNNNNNNNNNNNNNNNNNNNNNNNNNNNNNNNNNNNNNNNNNNNNNNNNNNNNNNNNNNNNNNNNNNNNNNNNNNNNNNNNNNNNNNNNNNNNNNNNNNNNNNNNNNNNNNNNNNNNNNNNNNNNNNNNNNNNNNNNNNNNNNNNNNNNNNNNNNNNNNNNNNNNNNNNNNNNNNNNNNNNNNNNGGGUGGACCAAUGGUACAGAAUAGAGGACACAGAGACUAAUCCACAAAGCUACAACUAUCUUAUAUUUGAUAAAGGAGCUAAAAGCAUGCAAUGGAGGAAGGAUAGCAUCUUCAACAAAUGGUGCUGGGAAAACUGGAAAUCCAUAUGCAACAAAAUGAAACUGAAUCCCCUCCUCUCGCCAUGCACAAAAGUUAACUCAAAGUGGAUCAAGGAGCUAGAUAUCAAAUCAGAGACUCUGCGUCUGAUAGAAGAAAAAGUUGGCUCCGAUCUACAUAUUGUGGGGUCGGGCUCCAAAUUCCUUAAUAGGACACCCAUAGCACAAAAGUUAAUAACAAGAAUCAACAAAUGGGACUUACUUAAACUGAAAAGUUUUUUCUCAGCAAGAGAAACAAUAAGAGAGGUAAAUAGGGAGCCUACAUCAUGGGAACAAAUUUUUACUCCUCACACUUCAGAUAGAGCCCUAAUAUCCAGAGUAUACAAAGAACUCAAAAAAUUAAACAAUAAGAAAACAAAUAACCCAAUCAACAAAUGGGCCAAGGACCUGAACAGACACUUCUCAGAGGAGGACAUACAAUCAAUCAACAAGUACAUGAAAAAAUGCUCACCAUCUCUAGCAGUCAGAGAAAUGCAAAUCAAAACCACCCUAAGAUACCAUCUCACUCCAGUAAGAUUGGCAGCCAUUAUGAAGUCAAACAACAACAAGUGCUGGAGAGGAUGUGGGGAAAAGGGUACUCUUGUACAUUGCUGGUGGGACUGCAAACUGGGGCAGCCAAUUUGGAAAGCAGUAUGGAGAUUCCUGGGAAAGCUGGGAAUGGAACCUCCAUUUGACCCAGCUAUUGCCCUUCUCGGACUAUUCCCUGAAGACCUUAAAAGAGCAGGGAUACUGCUACAUCGAUGUUCAUAGCAGCACAAUUCACAAUUUCUAGACUGUGGAACCAACCCAGAUGCCCUUCAAUAGAUGAAUGGAUAAAAAAAAAUGUGGCAUUUAUACACAAUGGAGUAUUAUACAGCACUAAAAAAUGACAAAAUCAUGGAAUUUGCAGGGAAAUGGAUGGCACUAGAGCAGAUUAUGCUUAGUGAAGCUAGCCAAUCCCUAAAAAACAAAUACCAAAGGUCUUCUUUGAUAUAAUGAGAGCAACUAAGAACAAAGCAGGGAGGAAGAGCACGAAGAAAAGAUUAACAUUAAACAGAUACAUGAGGUGGGAGGGAAAGGGAGAGAAAAGGGAAAUUGCAUGGUAAUGGAGGGAGACCCACAUGGUUAUACAACAUUACAUAUAAGAGGUUGUGAGGGGAAGGGGAAAAUAAACAAGGAGAGAAAUGAAUUACAGUAGAUGGGGUAGAGAGAGAAGAUGGGAGGGGAGGGGAGGGGAAAUAAUACAGGAUAGGAAAGGUAGCAGAAUACAACAGUUACUAAUAGGGCAUUAUGUAAAAAUGUGGAUGUGUAACCGAUGUGAUUCUGCAAUCUGUAUUUGGGGUAAAAUUGGGAGUUCAAAACCCACUUGAAUCAAAUGUAUGAAAUAUGAUAUGUCAAGAGCUUUGUAAUGUUUUGAACAACCAAUAAAAAAAAAAAACUUAAAAAAAAAUCAGAACACUUAAGUUAGAGAUGGCCUGAAUUUAGGCAAGAGUUGGGACAUGCAUUUAUACUCAUGCAUAGGUAGUGACUGUUCAGAGAUGAAGCAAGACAUCUUCCUUUGGUCAUGAAAAAUUACUGAGGAGGAUUCAGCUUUGAGAAGCCUAUAGGAAAUGCUUAGGAAACUGGAAAGUCAGUCUUGGGUACUGAAGAUAUAUCUGGGUAGCCUACCAGAAUAUCCAAUUUUAGCACUCACUAACGGUUUAACUGCACAUGAACCUCCAGUUCAGAUAUUUUUUUUCUAGGAUAAUUGGAUCUAUUGUUAAUUAGAGGUUUAAUUUUAUUUUCUCUUUUUUUUUUCUUUUUUCUUCUCCCUUUCCCUCUCUGUUCCUUUUUUUAAAAAAAAUAACUUUUUGUUUUUAUUUUCUUCUAUUUGUCUGCCCCUUGGAAUAUCUUCAUUUUUUCCUUUUAUCAGCUUUGUUUUCUUCAUUUACUUUUAGUUAUUUUUAUUAAUUUUUACUGCUGGCUUUCCUCAUAUCAAGACCUCCUCCAUUCACUAUAUUUAAUAAUGUAGGUUUCCUCUGUCAUUAUUUAAGUGGCUCUUUUUAUUUAUUUAUUUUUUUAUUUAUUUAAGUGGCUCUUUUUAAUGGUGAGUUUCUCUUUGUCACAUGAAAACUGGCUAUAGACCAUGUCUACUUGAACAGAACAUGUUAAAAUGGCACAUUUUAUCUAAAGAGGAGUUGAACAAUAGGAAUAUAACUCAAGCCACACGUUCAAGUUAAAAUUUUCUGAUAGCCACAUUAUAUUUCCAUAUAUAAACAUAUAUGCACAUAGGUAUAGACAUAUAUCUGUAUAUAUGAAUACAUGUAUAUGUAAAAUUGCAUUUCAUAAUGUAAUCAAUUUACUAAACUGUUAAUGAGAUGUUUUAUAUUAUCAUUUUCAUUUUAAAUUUUCAAAAUCAAAUGUAUAUUUCACAUUAGCAGGAUAUCUCAAUUCAUAUUACUCAACAGAAACUCAAUAGCUACAUGUUAUUAAGGGCCACUAUAUUUAACAGAAUAGAUCUGAUGCCAGGAUGCAGGCCUGUCAAAACACCAAAUGAUGUUGCUUUAGUCUUGGGUACCAGAAGGUUUAGCUCUAUUUGGAUAAUUUUAAAUUUGUUUAGAAAAUAUUUGGCAGACUUUUACUGUUGGGAUGCCUGCUUGUUUAUAAGUGGGAACCACUAAAGCUAUUUCUCAUGUAGACUUUUAAUUCAUCAUCUCAUUUCAGGUUCAUAUCUCCUUGCUUCAUUCUGUACCUGCUGAUUCAAUCAUCUUGAAGCAUGGAUGUUAACAUCCUUUCUUAGGAUUAUUAUAUUAUUACAUUUCUAACUUUUUUACUUUAAACCUUAUCCUUUCCAGAACCAAUAAUAAAGACUGGGCAAACAUCACUGUUUGAAAUCAUAAAUCUGGUAAUUUAUCACCCUGAUUAAAAUGUUCACAAAUAUUUGUAUUGGCCAUAUAAUAGAUUACAAAUGCUGUCUGUGACUUACAUUGGUCACCAUCCAACAGAGACAUAAAAAGUGAAAGGAUGGUGGAAUGAGAUGGACAUUAUUACCCUGUAUACAUGUAUGAUUUCCCUACCAGUGUAACUCUGCACCAUGUACAGCCAAAGGAAUGAGAAAUUGUGCUCCAUUUGUGUACAAUGGGUAAAAAUGCAUUCUACUCCCAUGUACCACUAAUUUAAACAAAUAAAAAAAAAAAGAAAUGCAAAGAAAAGCCACAAAUUAUAAAUCGAGCAAUAACAGAGGAUUUAAAGUAAUUAUAACAGUUAUGAAAAUUAAAAUUCCAUUGGUGGAAAUAAUAAUGAUGAUGAAAAGAACUUGUUAAAUAUCUUAUAUACCAAUAGAUAUCUUUUCUAUCACUGUUUUGUUCUUGAAUAUAUAGCUAUUACAUUUUAUAGAUUAAAUCAUCUGAGAAACAGAUAUACUAAAUAACUUUCCUGAAGUCAGAGAAUCAGAAAGCAGAUAAGAAUUCUGGUAUAUUUAAUCUUCUCUCACAUGUUCCUAAUUCAAUAGCACGUUAGUCGGCUUUCCAUUAUUACACCAAAAUAACUUAAAAAGAGCAGUGAUUUAUUUUGGUUAAAAAUUUUGGUUUUAGUCCACGUUCAAUUGGUCUCAUUGCUUUUGGACUACAGUAGGGGCAGCACAUCAUGGAAAGCAUGAAUGAUGGAAGACACUGCUCACCUCAUGGUGGCUGGAAAACAGAGAUAGGAAGGGACAGAAGUCAUAUCCCAUCAGAGGCACUGCCAGCAAUGACUGAAUUUCCUCCCAUUAGGACCACUUCCUAAAGUUUCUAGCAUCUCCACCAUGAGCAAGACCAAACUUUAACACAUGGGUUUUUGGGAGACACUUUUUCAAGCCAUAGAAAAUGUUUUGACACCAAAUACUGCCACAGGCUUCAUGAAAACAAGAUGUUUUUAUUGUGAUUGGAAAUAUAUAUAUAUAUAUAUAUAUAUAUAUAUAUAUAUAUAUAUAUAUAUAUAUAUAUAUAUUUUAAGUUUUUUCGUGUUUUGGAAUUUGACAAUUUGACAUGUUCAAUUUCCUACCCAUUUCAUUUGAAGGACUCAUAUAAUCUAAUUUAGAAUUAAAUGGUUAUAAGAAGAUUAUCAAGCAUAUAAUCAUAACAGUGGUGCUAGCUCUCCCAGAUUCUUCUUCUAUUUAGUUUAGUCCUCAGCAAAAUAACAACAAAUAUAUAUGUGGGUGAAUCCAUGGUUUCAUUAAUCUGUUCAACUAAUGCUAUGCAGCAUCUACUAUAACCCCACAAGAACAAUAUGCAGAUUUAUUAAUUGAUCCUUGUUAUUUCAGAUCUCCAGGUUAAUAAGAGAGAGAACAUGUUAAAAGGUAAUUACAGCACAAUGUGACACAAAGGAACUAUACAAUUUUAACUGAUGAAAGUAGUUAGAGUUAUUAAAAAGAUGUGGAAAAGACAUUGUUGAGAUAUGAACAAGAUAUGACAUCGUUGAGCUGAAUAGUAAAUAAUACAUAUGUUCCAGCCAUAUAUGAUGGAAAAAGUAUUCCAGAGAUAGUAAACAACAUGCACAAAGAAUGAUUGCAUCAAGCAGCCUGGUGUUAGUUAAUUAAACUGAUGCAACACACAGACAAUAUAAAGAGAGAGGACUUAUGUUAACAUUCAUUCUUUUUGCUUUUAUUUAAUUCAUAUUAAUGUAUAAUUCACAUACCACAAAAUUAAAGACUUAAAAGUGAAAAAAUCAGAGGCAAUUAGUGUAUCACCUCUAUCUGACUCUAAAACAUGUCAAUCAUGAUAAAAUAAAACCCUGUAUUCUCUAAGCCAUUACUUCUCAUUUCUUACUCUGCCUAGUCCCCAAAAACUACCCCUCUGCUUUCUACUUCUACGGAUUUACCUAUCUGGACAUGUCAUAAAAAUAAAAUCAUACAAUUUAUGACAUUUUGAUGUAUAGCUUCUUUUACUUAGCAUGAUGAUUUUGAGGUUAGUUCACAUUAUAACAUAUAUCUGUAUUUUCUUUCUUUUUAUGGCUUAGUAAUAUCUAUUGUACACACAUACUACGAUUUUUCUAUUGAUGGUCAUCAAUGUGUACAACUUAUUCAAGUAUUAGUUCUCAUACCAGUCUUCAAGUACUUUGAUUGUAUACCUAGAAGUGAAAUUUUGGGGUCAUUCUGUUUUACCUUCUGAGGAAUCACUAACCAUUUUCUACAGUGACUGAAACAUUUUCAGUUACCAGUUGGGAUUCUCUUUGCUCAUACAUAGUAGAACACUUUAACAAAAAUGUUUAAAUAGAGAAAUUUAUUGUUCCUUCAUAAAAAUAUAGAGGCAGGUUGGGGAUUAUAUGACAUUCUGCUUUGUUUAGCAAGCCAGUCUUAUUAUUUUCAGAUGUAAACAGACUAUUUUCCACAGCUGCCUAUAUCUGUAAAUUAAAUUUUACUGAUGUCCAGCUAUUCCCAUUCAUUUAUAUACUCUCUAUUGUGGUUUAGGCAUUAUAUGGCAGAGUUGAGCAGAUGACACAGACACUUUAGCCUGCAAAACCAAAAUACUUAUUCUUGGCCUUGUUACAGAAAAAGUUUGCUAAAUUCUUUCUUUCUCUCUUGGCCUGUCAUCUUGGGCUUCCUACUAAUGGGCCUAGAUGGCUUUUUAACCUCUAGUCAUCAUGUUCUCCAUCCAACCAUCAGGAAUAAGGAAGAACAGAGAGAGGGCACUUUGCUUUCUUUAAAAUACUUCUCCAAGGAAUCUCAAUUACUUUUGAUCCUGCUAUUAUUUCCACAUCCAUGACUAGCUGUAAGAGCAUAUUGGAAAUUUAGGUGGGUAGGAGCCCUUCUAAAAACUGGAUUCUCUUCAGAAGGGAAAAGGAGAAAAGGCAUGUUCUGAAAGACUAGAUAGCUCUAGCACAGAGUCAGUAUCUUAGUAGAAAAGACCAUUAGCCUAGAUAUAGCCCUGAGCCUCAAUCUUUUGCUUUUUAUUAAAUUUAUUUAUUUAUUUAUUCUAAUUAGGUGUAUAUGACAUCUGAAUACAUUUUGAUUCAUUAUAUACAAAUGCAGCAAAAUUUUUUAUUUCUCUGGCCGUACAUGAUGUAGCGUCCUACCAUAUGUGCAGUCAUACAUGUACCUAGGUUAAUGAUGUCCAUCGCAUUCCACUUUCUUUCUUGCCCCCAUACCUCCUCCCUCCCCUUUGCCCAAAGUUUCUUCAUUCUUCCCAUGCCCAGCCCCAUUAGGGCCAGGGAUAUAGCUCAGAGAUUGCCUCGCAUGCAUGAGGCUCUGGGUCCCAUCCCCAACACCACACACACACACACACACACACACACACACACACACACACAGAGAUCAACCAUAGCAAUAGUUAAAAAUACAAAUAACAUUUCUCACUUCUAAUCCUUGACAAUCAAAACCCCUAGACAUGGCUCAGGAAAAUGAGUCUCAGUCUUCCUGAGAACUGUAGAAUCUGGAUAGGCAGAACUCUUCAGGACCAGGCAAAGACUAUAAGAACCAAUUAGAGUUCUUCUUUCUCACUUCAAAUAUCUCACAGCAAUUAGAAAUAUGUAGAUCAGUAAAAAAUCUCUAUCUUCCUUUAUAAACAGAGUGAUUUCUAAGUUCACUAGGUCUCAUUUUCUGCUUAAUUUAAAAGACUGAUUAAAGUUUUACCUCUCAUAAUUGAGAUCAAUGUAGCAUAAUCUCUUGUUCUAAUUGGAUUUCCAAGGGUUUGCAUUUGGAAAGGAAUUGAAAUUCAGGCAAGUUAUCAAUGGCACACUUUUCAGAUUGUGACAACCAAUAGAUACUAUUUUUCUGAAUGGGAAACACUUUAAAUGUUGUUUCUACAUGAGUUUUAGCCAAAAUAGCCAUAGAAGAAAUAAGAAUGAGAAAAUUAAACAUAUGUUUUAAUUUGGGACUAGACACAGGAGUGUCAGAGUAGAAUGUAUGUAUACUUGCAUAAGGCACUAAAUAAAUUUAAGAGAAAAUGUGUAGUAUUUCUUUCACUUAUUUUUUUUAAUUUGCCUACAAAAAGUGAAAUAAAUAUGAGAUUGUUUUUCUGUGAAUUUUCAAAAAUCUGAGUAUAAAAUAAUGGGAUAAAUUAAUUAAGCAUGCAUUUUAUAUUUACAAAGUCCAUCACUAGGUUACAAAAAAAGAGUAAAGAAUAUUAUAUUUCAAAUAAAUAGGCCCAGAAGCUUAUUGAUUUAUUCACAUCAAUGUCAUUCUGUUUCCAAACUGUGCUCAUAUUUGAGCAGAACAAAUGGGAACUUUUUAUAAGAUUGCAAAACUCCAAUGUUUAGUUUUCUUUGCUUUUUAGGCUUUUUAUUUUUUAAUUUUUUUCUGAUACCAGGGAUUGAACCCAGGGUCACUUAACUACUGAGUCAUAUACCCAGCCCCUUUUUGUAUUUUCAUUUAGAGACAGGGUCUCACUAAGUUGCUGAGGGCCUCAUUAAGUUACUAAGGCUGGCUUUGAACUUGCUAUCUUCCUGCCUCAGCUUCCCAAACUGCUGGAAUUACAGGCUUGUACCACUACACCUGGCUGCUUUUCAAUUUUUAAUCUGUUUGAUGUAACUAUCACUCUGGUUGUAUAGUUCUUUGUUUUGAAAGAUGCAUGGAUCAUAUGACUUCUGCUACAAUCAAGACACAGAACUCUUCCAUCACCCCCAAAAUGAUCUUGUUAUGUCACUUUGAAUUCAUUCCUUGUAGUUUCCAGGGUAGGUAGCCUGUGAGUUUUUCUUAUUAAAUUUAGCAUAAUUCAUUUAAGAUUCACCCAUAUUAACACACAUAAUAAUAAUCUUUUUCUUUUUACUGCUGAGUAGUAUUUACUCAUAUGGAUAAAAAUUCAUUUGUAUAUCCAUCCCCAAUUGAAGGGCUUUUCAGUUGUUUUCACUUUUAUCAGUUAUGUAUAAAGACUGUCUACACAUGUACAGAUUUUCACUUGGACAUACAUUUUUAUUUCUUUGGGAUCAGUAGUUAAAAUAUAUUGUUGGAUCAUUAGGGUAAAAAUAUUAUUAAUUUGAUAGUAAAUUGCCAAACAGCUAGAGUGCCAUUUGCUUUUGUACUAGCAAUUUAUGAAUGUCCCAGUUACUUCACUUCCUCCCCAGUUCUUGGUAAUGUCAGGAUUUAGAUUCUCCUUUCCUGCUCUCCCCUAACUUCCUUUCCUCUGUCUUCUCUUCCACUCUCAGGUUUCACUAUUGUAAAUCCUUUUAAUUGGCUCUGGCACGCCUUUGAAAUACAUGUAUCAAGAUGCUUUCUAAAUAACUUCCUUACUUUCUGGCACUUUAAUAUGUUUCAGCCUUAUUUUAUAUACUUCCUGUCCCAAUUCUAGAUUCUUGCCCAUUUUUAAUUGGUCUUUUUAUUUUCCUGUUUUUGAGUUUUAACAGUGCUUUUUUUUUCUUUGAUAAUGUCUUUAACAGAGAAAGAAUUUUAAUUUUGAUGUAUCCUUUGCUCAUGGGUCAUGCCAUCGGUAUUCUAAGAACUCCUUGCUCACUCAAUAUCAAAAAUAUUUUCUAAUUUUUUUUUUUUUUGCAAAAACAUUAGGAUAGUAAUUCUACAUACUUAGGUAUAUGAUUUACCAAGAUAUUUUUAAAUUUCUAUAUUGUAAGGUGUAGAUCAACAUUUGUUUUGUAUACAUGAAUAUUCAAUCAUUCCAGCAUCAUUUCCUUAGUAGAUUUUUCCCCAUUGAAUCAUAUUUAUUUAUAACCUUUUCAAAAAUUAGCCAUAUGUGUUUGAGUCUAUUUCAAAGUUCUCUAUUUUGUACCAUUGAUCAGUGUGUUUUAUUUUUCAUCUUUAUCACUACACUGUCUUAAAUACUGCAGUAAGUAUUGAAGGUAUUUGUGUGAGUGUUCUAGGUUUUAUUUCUUUUUUAAAUUCAAAAUGUAUUGGCUACUCUAAUUUCUUGUCUUUAUUUGUAAAUCUUACAAUCAGUUUUUCAAUAUCAUUAAAUAUCCUUCUAGGAUUAUGAUUUGGAAUAUGUUUAAUUUAUAGAUAAUUCCAUGGAAUUUGACAUUUUUUUACAAAAUUUUCUUCCCAUCCAUGAAACUAGUAUAUAUUUUUCUCAAACUUAUUUGUUUAUUUCCAUUUCUUUUACUUUUUAACCUGAAGGCUCGUUGCUUGGAAUCAGUCCAGCACUAGCUUUCAUUCUUAUUAGUACUGUAGAAUUAGGUGCUAGAAUAGCCCCUUGAUAAUCCUCAUUGCUGAUAUUGUCCAUGUAGUAAUUAUCUGCUUUUUUAAUUUUAUGAACAUAUUUUUGCAUUCCAUGUCUCCUAAGUGUUACAUACUAUUUUUGGAAGUUUUUUUUUUUUUUGCCUUCUCGGUCAAUGUUUAAUAGGGAGACUUGUCCAAAAACUUCCUUUAAGAAGUCUACAGGUAUUGGACGUAUUUAUUUUUUUCAGUAUUUCAUAGGCAAAAUCUAUAUGUCACAAAUAAUGAACACUGAAUAAAAGCUUGAGGACUAGAUGUGUCUCUAAGGUUCAGUAUUUUAUCAUUGAUAUGUAUGGCUCAUUUACAGGUAUACUCCUCCAACUGCUUUUCAUGGGUUGUAGGUUUUUAUGAUGAUGAUAGAGGGUGGUGAAGAAUAAUAAAACAGGGAAGUAUUUUACAAUGUCAUUGGAGUCUAAACUUUUGGCAAAAAGAAAUUAACUCACUUGAGUUAGAUAUCAGACAUGCAUUGCUUUCAAAGCCAGUUAUUGUAGGGCUGGGAGUCUUAUAAACAUUAUUAUACCAUCUGAGAUUUUUGUACAAAGAUAUCUUUUAUAUGUUAUCUUAAAACCUCAGUGAGGUAAGCUAUAAAUGAAGGGGGACAAGUAGUUGUAAUGAUAGCUACUAGUAAAGCCCAGAAUCUUCUGACAUCAAAGAAAUCAAUUUCUAACACAAUUCUGUGUGAGUGAGGAUAUGAAUCGUGGAUAUGUUAAUGUUCUUUCCCAUAGUCACACAAAAAACAUAAAGCUAGAUCUUAUCUUUCCAUCUUCUUUCACCAUAAUAAAAUAUUUCUUGUAUUUUUAUUUAAAAAAUAAAUAGUCUUGAAGAUUCAAGAUCCACAAUGAUCAUGAAAGACAUAUAGAACAAACUAGACAUCUACUCAUUUAUGUAGCAGUGUCUCACACAGUUCUAAUAUUUAACUGAACUUCUGGUAUGUAUCAGGCACAGUUUGGGGCCCUGGAAGAGCUAAUGAGCAGACAGAAUUUCCUGCUGUUAUAUGGCAUGAAAUCUGAUUAGAAAAACUGAGCACAAAUGCAGUAAUUAAUUAAGCAUCUACUGUAUCAGAUAAAGAUAAAUGCUAUGGAAAUAGAGAAGGAAAAUGUGGAGGGGAGAUAGUAAGUUUUAGAGAUUAUAUUUUUAGAAUUAGGUGGCCAAUAGAAGGUUUUGCUAAGAAGGUGAUAUUUGAAUAAAUUACUGAGAAGAUAAAGGAGUAAGCAGUUUGGAAGUGUAGAGAAAAGAAUUUGUAGACUGAGGGAGAAGCCAGCAGACAUGUGUGUGGUCCCCAUAUACCUAUGUUGUUGAAGGACUAACAAGAAGGUUCUUUGUGCUCAAAUAAAGGGAGUGAGAAUGAGCACAGUGAGGAAGAGUUGGAGGAAGUGUCAUAGGUGAAUAGGGGGUGGUGAACUCAUUUAUAUGACUUUUUUUGGGCAUUGUAAGGAGUUUGUGUUUCUCUGCGAAUUAAUAGAGAAGAUAGAUCUGAGCAAAAAGCAGACUCGGUUCUUAAAUUGAUUCUUAAAUUUUUGGCUAAAAGUCAAGUGGGGGAAAGAAACUUUGAUCAAAUAAUCGUGAAAAUGAAUAUAAAAGCAAAAGUGAUAGAGGCUAAAAUGAUAACCACUCAAGUGGAUCAGGGUUAAUUAUCAAAUAAAAACUGAUAUUUGAUCUUGGAUAUGAGAGAUCAGUAGAUGUUGACUUGCUAAACAAUAUAAUGUUAAUAGUGAUGUUUUAUUGAGUGUUGCCUUCUAAGCAGCUGUGUUUUCAGCACUUACCACUGAUGAGCUCAUUUUAUCUUCACAGUAAUGCAAUAAGUGACACAUGGUUUUUAUAUUUUGUAGGUGAGGAAGCUGAGGAACACAGAGAUCAAGUAAUUUGCUCAUUUACUAUUUAGUAAACAAGAAAAAAAGGGAUAGGAAACCAAGAAAACCUAUCACAGCAAUGCUACUGAUCUUACAUGGAAAAAAAAAAAAAACAACAAAACCCUCCUGGAUCUUGACCUAUGAAAUUCCCUUACCACUCUUGUCUAUUGGCUCUAGCUGUCAUAUUUCAAUGCUUGCCUCUAAUUCACUCUGUAUCCUUUUCUCACCUUUCCCGCCAUUGUAGAUGAUUUUUAUGAAAUUCUGAAGAAAGGAUGAUCAUUCAGUGACCUCUAUUUGGUAAAUAAUUGCUCAUUAUUAUGUGGCAUCUUUUCCAAUUGAGAAGAGUUUUCAAUAAAUUGUUUAUGUAAUUUCAUGUUUUUUGAACUUUAAUUUUGGAAAUUGAUUAUAAGUCCAUAGAGGUUUGAGCAAAGUAAAAUGCAAAUGAGAUGAUUGCUUAUUUAUGCCUCAUAUAUUAUUGGGCACAAAGUCCUGCAAUAAUAUACACCAGACAUAGAACAAAACAGAAAGGGAUCCAGGAGUAAGAAGAAAUCUCUCAAAAAUCACUAGUGAUUUACACUUUUUUUACAAAUCUAUUGACUGUUAAGCCUAGGUUAAUACCCAAUAAAUCUAUUAUUUAUUAACACUGUUUUAUAGUAUUCAAAGUAGCAUAGGAGACAGCUAAACAGUAAGUAGAUAACUGAGUACCAAACAAGCAUGAAACUCCAAUAGAUGUUUGGGUGCAAGAACAACCUGAGAUCUAAGACAAGAGGUGAAAUAUUUAGUGCAAAAUGGAAGACGAACACAAAACAAUUAAAAGAGAAAAUGCCAGCCAAGUUGCUUUCUGCCAUUACCCCUUCAGUUCUCUGUGGUGCUUGUGAGGCAGAGCUUUCCUAUGGACAGGUUAUCCAUAACACCUGGAAAAUGUGAACUGCACAGGACAAAAGGAUAAUUUCUGUCCUUUUUGGCUCUUAGAUUACUAGCCAAUUGGAUGUUAUUAAGUCUCACAGGAGAGUUCACUGCUUCUGCCCUGGGCCUGCUCUCAGCUUCACUAGGACUCUAUCUAAUGCAUCCCUUCUUUGGGGUAAAAAUUUCCUGUUGUUUAAAAUGAAUGAAUUGAACCUAACUGUUUCUGAUACUCUGUACUUUAUGUCCUUCCCUGUCUUAUGUACAAGUAGAAUUCUGUGCAGAAGUUGAAUUUUUCUUUUUCCUUCCUCUUGAAGAAGUGUACAUUUACUUGUGCCCAUCUGUGAUGCAGCACUGCUCUAUGGCAAGUUCUGCUACAGUCAAAUGUGCUGCAUGGAAGCUGGCUAUUUCUGAGGUUUAGUGUUAAGAUGUUAUAAUCCCAAAUACAACACACUUCAAGUAACGCAUCAAUAAUACAGGGAUUAUUUCACUCUCCUAAGAGUUUAUAAUUCUUGGCCUGACAAUUUCUUUUGUCAAUGUUGAGAUUUUAAUUCAUCUGAAGUUGAUUUGGUUUUCAAAUUGAUAAGAUAUAGACGUUUUAUUUGAAUCAUUUCCUUUCUUGAAAAUAAAAUAAUGGUAUUUCUAAGAGUUGGUGGAAUCUUUGGUCUGGUGGAAUAUAAUAACAUAUUAACAAUUGGCUUUGAAAUGUGGUAUCUAGUAGUGCAAAUAUUUGUCCCUUCUAAUGCUAUGUUCUGGGAUUAAUAAGAAUAUGCUGUUUCCAAGAAUGGCAAGUACUCAUUUGGAGCCUGGCUACAUUUGAAAAUGAAUUUCACAGUCCAGCCAAGUUUGCCAUGUUUUCUACCAAAGGAUAAUUAAAUGGCUUCACUUUUAAGAUUGUUUUUGCAUUGCUUCUGGAUGAAAACUGCCCCUGCAUACCACUCAUCCCCAUGUUUUUAAUUCAUAAAAAUGCCAUUUGUACAAAUAGAGCAAAGGCCCAAGGGCUUCUAAAUGAGGCUGUUAAUAGGACUUGUCAAUUAACUUCAGUGCAUUGAAUGAAAUAUAUUAUGUGCUUAAUGAUCUUUAAUGCUCUCAGCUCAAUCAUAACAAAGAAUCCAACAUGUAGAUUUGUAGCAGCUGGUGGUCUCCAUUUGUCUCUUCUUUUGAAAGUAGAACGUUCAUUUAAUAAAAGCUGCUGAAACAAUGGUCUUCAUGCCCUGUGUGUAUUCCUGAAGUUUCUGAAAAGAAACAAACACGUGGCAGAUAACAUUUUUCAAGGUUUUAGUACAUAUUUGGUGGAAAGCAGAGAAUAGGUUAGGUUCCAGCAAGUGAUGGGAGAGAGUAACAUGACGUGAUGUUGGGAGUUUGUGGCUUUAGCAUUGGUUUCUGUGGCAACUGACUUUCCUAUAGUUACAGCAGAAUGUGAGCAAUAUAGGAAAACACCUAUAGGAAAGAUACCUGCACAUAGACUUAAAAACUGUCAACUAUGAUUGUGCCAAAUAUUAGAGGGCUAACAUAGAGUGAGGGAAACAACAGAAUAUUAUAUAAGAAACAAAUAUGAGAGAUAUAAAAUUCCCUGAAAUAGACUAAAAGAUGGUUGUGCAGUUAGUAUGAAAAAGAUAGAGUUACUCUUUAGAGAGUCCUCAGCUAAUUUCUUAUUUACUUGUAAACCAAAAUUUAGAUCUUUCCUUUUAGAAUACACUAGUAUAAGUGUCACAUGUCUAAUGCAGUUAAAUGUCAAAAGUAAAAAAUAAAAAUAAAACAUCUGUUGUAUAGGGCACAUACAUGAUCCUCAAAUAUAGGAGGCCUUUGUCAAUAUUAAAAAGAUUUAUCAACUGAGUUGUAUAAGAUAUUGUGUGGCAAUUUCUAGCGGGGCUUCUAGUUCAGGAUAAUAAAUGAGUAGCUAUUUCUCUCCUUUACUUCAAAAUUACCUCUGAAAGAAAAAAAUAAAAGAUAAGUCAUUCAUAUAUGUGCCAAUAAUGGGAAGUGAGAACAUCAGUGGAUUAUAGAUUUGACAAGUUUCUGGAAGAUGGAGAGUGGAUUGAAUCAUGGUAGGCAAUUUGGAAUGACCACAGUCCAGUCUGGCUGCUGAAGGCUGUUGUACAAGUAAGAACUGGCAAAGCCACCAGGUAACCACAGACCAGAAUUCACAGCUUGACAGAUUAUGAGUAGUAGUGAUGACAAAGGCUAAGAAAUUAAAGAAAUGUCUAUCUGGAAAGAUUUCUUCCAAAAUAUGAUGAAUAUUACAGCAAAUACACUUCCUGCAAAAAAAAAAAAAAAAAAGGAGGAGGAGGAGGAGGGAAUAAACUGCUUAGAGAAAUGCUGGUGCCAUAGGAAAGUUUUCCUUAUUUUGCUUUUAGAGUAAGAAGUGGGAGAAUUGAAGAGGCCAAACCUGUGUUUUCUACACUCAAACAACCUAUCCUGAAACCUGGCAAUGUGAUAGACCCAAUCCGCAAUUGACAGAAAUUAUACUGCUCAGAUAAAGAUGGCUGACAAAUGAACUAGGACUUCUCAGAUGACAAAGAAGACUAUCUUCCUGCUCCUAAUUCAUACAUAUGGAUAGGCAGACAUGUUAGGGCAUUACAUUGUUAGAGUAACAGAAUACAUACAUCCCUUUUAAAAACAACAUUGGAUUUUGACAAUUACUAAAUAAAUAACAACAAUGAAAAAGAGAAACAUAUUCCGUUUUGUGUAAGACUAGGAAAUAUAAUGAAUUACAAUGUAUGAAGAUUAGAAUAUAGGAUGGAGUGGAAUCUAGCAUAAAAACUUGAAAUAAAUGAAAACAGAACAGAACUCCUCAGAAGGAAAUAGGAAUAAAUAUUCCAAUUCAAGCAACAUGCAACUGCAAAGCUUCAGGUGGAGAAUAUCAGGUGCUUCAUGUAUGAAGAUGUGAGGAAAAAAAAAAGAAUAGCGUUACCUUAGACUAAGUGGAGAGAAGUGAUUGGAGAGGAGGGGAGGGGAUGNUUGAGAGGUAGAUGUUUUGGUAAGUGAUUUAGAUAUUUCUCAAAAAUGGGAUCAAUGCCUUUAAAGUAGACUGAAGCAUGUUUGGUGUGCUGCUUCUGCCACGUGAAGGCACAAAAGCAAGGUGUCAUGUCUGAAACUUUUAUUAGACACCAAAUCUACUGGGGCUCUGAUGUUGGACCUCCUAGAUGCCAGAAACAAAAGCAAUUAGUUUCUCUUAUUUACAAAUCAUCUAGUCUAAAUUAUCUUGUUAUAGCAGCCUGAAUAGACUAAGACCAAAAAAAUGAAGCUGUAGGGAAAAAACCUUAUUUUAUUUUAUUUGCCCUAAACCUCAGCCUAAAGCCCAGAUGCACGUCAUCUGAGGUCAUGAGAUGUACUGUGGCAACUGGCCCUACAUCACUGCCUGACAAAAUCUGAGGCUAACUCCUUUUGUAGCAGGAAAAUAUCAUAAAGAACUUCAAAUUAAUUAUUUGAUUUAUUUCAACUCAGAUCAGUUAUCUAUUACAAAUCCAUAAUUAUGUUCUCUUUGAGGACUGUGACAAUACUACCUAAAAUUACAACACUUUCCCCCAGAUUUGCUUUAUUUUUCUACUUAGGCCUUGCUGAUAGCACAUAAAUCACUUUCAUUUUUAGAUUGUUUCCUGUCUCUCUCACUACAGUGUACACACUGGGAAAGCAGGGGUGGUUUGUUUGUUACUGUAUCCCCCAAAUCUAGGUCAGUGCCUGGCCUGGAAUUAUUUGACAAAUAAAAAAUAUCCAUUGCCAUUCAUAUGAUAUGCCAUUCAUGUGGUUACAGGACUUGAGAGAAAUACAUCAACAGUCUAACAGUGAUUACAUCUUAGUGGGAGACUGUAAUUUUGUUUCCAGAGUUUUUUUUUUUUUUUAAUUUCCAUGUAUUCUACCAUUGCCACAUAUUAUUUCUGAAAGUGUCUUAUAAAUAUAUUAUUUUGUUGAAAGCCACUAAAAUAGAAAUUAUAAAGUUUAUUCCCCCUUACAAUUUCAAUGUUCAAACUCAGAAAUAAAUUACAAAAAAUUACAUGUGAUCUUUUAGUACAGUCAUGCUGGUAUAAUCACAUAAUCUCCUGUGUUCUCCAUUUUGACACACUAUAAGCUGGCCAGGUUAUAUGACUGUGGUGAUGGCACAGAGCCAGGUUAGCCAGACUGCGAAUUACUCCCUCCAGCCUGUUCAUACAGUCCAGGAUUCUAUUAUGUUGCACAAUGCCUCAAAAAUACAGACACUGUUAAGACAGAAAGAGGCUUUGUUCCUGACAUCUAUUUCAUGGGCUCCUACGUGUUCUAACAUCCAAUGUCCAUUUUUCUCCAUAGGCAUUGAGCAUUGUAAAAUAUUUAAUUUAAUUGAAAAUAAAACCUGUAAUUAAUAACCAGUGAUUAAUCAUAUUUAAUGUCUUACCAAUAGAUGGCUUCUGUAACUUCAUUGACUGGCUAUAAUUAUAGCAUACAAUAGAAGAACAUAAAGUUGGGAGUGGACCAAAACGUUGGAAUAGAGAAAUUCAAUUUCCUGUUUUCUCCAAGGCAUGAAAACAAGAAAGCAGACAGGCAGCUUCUCAGCAAGGGAAUUAGGAAUCCUGAUAUUCCCAUUAAUGGGCAAAUGCACAAGUUUCUUCUGAGUGUUAAGGAGACCACAUCCUGUCACUUGUGGAAUGUUAUCUCUUCCAGCAGUGGAAGAGAUAAGAAUGUGUUGCAAAGAGGUCUGGGCAGUGCCCCCAGUGUGGAAAAUAGUAGGAGCAAGAACCUUAGCCCUUGGAGCAAUGAUGGGGUAGAGAUGGCAGCAGUCAAGGAAUCCACAGAGCAGACUAAUACUAGCAGAUAGUAUUGAGAGAAGAAAUUCCCCACCUGAGGAGUCUGACCAGGCAGUAGCAUGGCCACAGGAGAGGGAGACACCAGUCAUGGCAGGAGAGGUGGAAUCUUCAGAAAAGUGCGUCUGGACAUGUAGAAUCUGUGGGUGAAUGUAGGAGACCAACCUUGCACGUGACUGAGUCACACUCCCUGGCUGGGUGCUGAGGUGCUCAGUGGCAGAAAUGUGGCAGAGCUUUCACCAGACUUCUUGGGUUCGAGGGUCAGUGUCUUCUGCAUGGGUGUGUCUUGCUACAGCCCCAUGGGUGAAGCUAUGCUCACCUGUUCCUUUGUAAUAUAACCCCUUUCCCUGUUUAGGAUAGAAUCUUCCAUGGAAGUGCCUUGUGUGUGUCCCCUGCUCUUACUGUGCCCUUGGGUGUGGCCUACCCAGGUGUCAGUCAACCUGCUGACAGUGGACAACAUGAAGAUGGACUCAGCCCCCUGAAACCUGACCCCUUGCCUCAUUUGAAUAGCUUCUCCUCAAUAAAAGAGGGUCAGCACGUGUUCUCGCUCUCUCUCUUUCUGCGAACCCUUAAGGUCAGAGGAGCCAUCACAGCGACCCCAAAGAAAAAGAUAUUUGUGUCUCUUGUGUGGUUAUUUUGUGCAGCCCAAUUACUCCAGUUUAACUGGAGUGACCCCUGAGACUUUUAGUCUCGAGAACAAAAACUCGGCCAGUGAAUGUCCCAAUUCUGCGGCUUCAGUGGGAGUUACUGGGGUGAAGGUUUGGUAUGAUGGUCUCUCAGGUCUCACCUGUCAGGAUCAGAGGGACUGAACUGCAAUGGACAUUGGGGACCAGACAUGUAACAUCAGGUGUGCAGCUUUCAGAUUCCGUUUACCACUUUAUGGAACAAAUUUUGUGGGUCAUUGAAUUCAUGAUGGCAUCUUCACUUAAUUAUGAUGACCCAGUCACUGAGCCACCAUAGAAGACUCAGUAUCCUCCCCCUUGAGCUCCCUUGCUUCCCAAUACUGUAUCCACAAUCCACCUUCUCCCACAUCUGCUUUCUGAAGAGGAAGUUUCAUCGGUCAUUUCCACCAGGGAAAAGGAAUCGUACUGUACGUUCACUAUCCAGAACCUGCACUUUCUCUACCCUUUUGCUGAUGCAAGUAAGGAUGAGGAUCUGCUUCCUGCUGGCACAGAAGAUCAAAUCCAUUAAAAAAAAAAAAAAAAAACAGAAACUAGUGAAAGCAUUUAAGGAGAAAUUUACCUGCAAUGGUACUGGAAUUGAGAAUCCAGAAUAUAGAGAAGAAAUUCAGCUACUGGGUAAAUAGCACAAGAGCAGAGAUUGGACCGAUCAAGGAUGAUCAGCUGAAGGUUCAUGGGUUUUCAAUGUGUGUGGCUCACUGAAGCUUAAGUGAGGAUUUCCUUGCAAUGAGUACAAUUUCUCGUGUCCCUUGUCACAAGUUUAAAGCUCUCACAGCUUUUUUUAUGUAACCAUUUUGGAUCCACUAUAAACUUGGGACUAAUAUAACUCCUUCAUGCAAUAAACUGAAAAAAAUCUAUGCAGUCUAGUCUUGAAGUUUCUCAUUUAAACAGACAUCAGGCAAUAGGUGCCUUGCAGUGUCCACCCUGAAACAAAACAAUAAUAUGAUGUUUCAGCAAAACCCAGAGCCCCAAGAUCACAGGCAUCUGUUUCUGGCCAGAAGCUCCUUAGCUCUCCCUGAGCAGAGUCCCCUGCCCUAAGAGUGUCAUGACCUGAACAAUAAAGAGAGGAUGAGAUAAGGCAACAACAGCAGCUGUACCACUAGAGGGAAUUUUUGGUAAUAAAAAGAGCUCAUAGUGUCUCUAACCUGAUCAGGUGGGCAGAUUUCAGAGACUACCUUCCUUCUAGUGAGAUGAUGCAGCAUCUGGCUUUCCACCAAGGUCUUCUUUUGGACUAGACAUCUUCUAGCUAAGGGGUGUCCAAAACACCAGAAUGUGAAGCCAGCCGAAUAUUGAUACUGGCGUUGAGAAUCAGGUUUGAGUCCCGUUCCCCAAGGUGCUGAAGAUUGAACACCCAAGAAACACUGAGGCAAUGCAAAAUGUUUUAUUUAAAGGAGACAGAGAGAGGCAGACAGAAACUCCUCUACAGAGGAGGGCUUCCAAGUUGGUGCCUGAAGGAGUGUGGGUGUCCUGACUUUUUUAUGGAUUUCAGAUUUUCUUUGUUCUCAUGCCCCCCUCCUCCGGAUACAUUGCCUAUGUGACCAGUGACCAAAAUGUGGAGUGACCAGCGUCAGGAAGAGAGUCAUCCAGGGGUUAUUCAUUAACAACUUCAUGUAGGGAGGAACAAUUCGCUGGAGGCAGGUAACGGGGCAAAAGUUUGGAGGAGAGGGAAGUGCUCUGGAGGUAUUAGCAUUUUAUUUCCUCUUGAGUAUGUCCCAUCUUCCUGACACAAUCAUUCACUACCUACACUGUCCUUUGCCCCCCCAUCCUCAAUAUCAGUUAAUUUUUUUGAGGGAGGUACUGGGGAUUGAAACAAGGGCACUCAACCACUGAGCCACACCCCCAGCCCUAUGUUGUAUUUUAUUUAGAGACAGGGUCUCACUGAGUUGCUAAGUACCUCACCAUUGCUGAAGCUGGCUUUGAACUCAGGAUUCUCUUGUCUCAGCCUUCCUCCCAAACCGCUGGGAUUAGAGGCAUGUGCCAUCAUGCUUGGCAUCAGUUAAAUUUUUGAAAAGGGAACAAAUACAAGCUGUUGUUAUCAGUCCUGUAACUAGCUAUAGAGCUUGCAACUUACCUGCAACUCACUAGCUAACCAGUGCCAAGUGAAGUAAUAAAUUGGUUUAUGGUUUUCUUUUUAACUUCUAGUUUUAAUAUUACAUAAUGUAUUUAAAACCUGAUAUAAAUAAAACUUGUUUUCAGGGGAGAAAAACAAAGCUUUAUUGACUUGUACAGCUAGAUACAUUAUCUACAAUUUUUUUUUAAAUACGAGCAAUAUCUUCCAGAUUAAUGUUAAUGUUUUCAUGGGUACUUCCAUCUGUGAGGACAGCUCUUGAUUCUUAUUCUCCUCUCUGCCAUCCUGCAUAGGCUAUGAAAUUUAUGUUUCCCUUGAGUGAAAUGAGCUGUCUGAGAAAAAUGGCAAAAAAAUCACACAACACAGAAAUAAUUUUGAAAAGUGAGGGUGAGACAGUGUUGUGACCUUAGUGGUCCUGUUUCCACACUGGAAGAAGAGAGAGAGAUAGGAGCCUAGUUUGCUUUAUUUAUACAAGGGUCUUCAAAGGAUUUCAAUGGAAUGUUCUUUUGCCAAAUAAAGUAGGAGGGGGGCAGUCCAAGCCCAACAGGUAAUGCCCUAGUCCAAAGCUACAGAGCAAUCUCUCUAGUCCAGCGAAGACUGAGGUCAUCACGUGAUUUGCAUAAUAAGCCACAAAAUGACUUGCAAUGCCAAACCAAAAUCUCCUUGGCUCCAAGGCCCAGUAGAGGCUAUUCAAAUAGCCCAGAGGUGGCCCCCUACAGAAGGCCAUUUGGAAAUUAGAUGAAGUAAACUUCUCAGUCCAAUUUAUAGAAUACUGUCAUUUAGGCUUCUGACCACCACCCUUUCAUUACUCUUCCACAUCACAUACUGGCAAAGUCUAGAAGAUGACACAAGGAGUGGAAAGUGUUUCCAUAAGAAAAUGCCUAUUGCAUCUGGGGUCUAGUGAUCCUCCAAGAAAAGGUCAGCUCCCAUCUGUUUGAUCAUUCUACAUUUAAGCUUAUCAGUCAGAAAAACCGUAGCCUUCUAAUCACUCUCAAAUGUAUUUAUACAAAGUGAACCUAAAGGAAAGAAAGAUGGAAGAGAGUAAGGGAGGGAGCAGAAGAAGAAGAAAGGAAAGAAAGAAUAAAAGCAAAGUCUCUCCAAGUCAUUUAAGGCAUUUUGACAAAGCUCCUAACAUGAAAGUUGUAGAACAAAGCAAAUUCCAAAAACACAAAUAUAUCACAGACUAGAUGAAUAUGUCAACAGUGUGUUUUAAUUUACAUGCACAAAAUAUAUUUCAUUGAUGAAAAUAAUAGGGUGCUAUUAAAAAUCAAAAAAAAAUGUAUUAAAAUGAGCAAAGUAUUGAAAAAGAACUAUUAUAGGGCUGGGGAUGUGGCUCAAGCGGUAGCGCACUCGCCUGGCAUGCGUGCGGCCCGGGUUCCAUCCUCACACCACAUACAAACAAAGAUGUUGUGUCCGCCGAUAACUGAAAAAUAAAUAUUAAAAUUCUCUCUCUCUCUCUCUCUCUCUCUCUCUCUCUCUCUCUAAAAAAAAGAAAACAAAAGAAAAAGAACUAUUAUAAAAAGUAAACAGAAUGAGGUAAGAAAAAGUCAAUAUAUUUCAGUAGGCAAUCAAAAAAGAUGAGAUUGAUUUUAUGUGAGGAAAAAGUGUAAAAAAAAAUUUAAUUAAAAUAAAAGGCAAAUCAGACAAAGGGGCACAACCUACCAGUAAGCAUCCUAGUAAAAUCAAGGAAAACAAAGGAAAGGAAGAAAGAAAUAAUAGAAAAUUUUCUGGAACUGAAGAACUUCAGGUAUAAACUGAAAGAGCCAUAGUGUUCCUGUUGCUUAUUCCCACGAAUGAAAUAAACCCAUCAUUAGUAUUAGCAAAGUAAUGGGUAAAAAUCUAAUUUGCUAGAGGAAAUAAUACUUAAUAAGAUUCAAAACUCAUUAUCUAAAGUAUAUAUUAACAUGUUAAUGUAUAAAAUCUUUUUUUAUUGUUGUUUUAUUUUGUGUUUUGGUACUAGGGAUUGAACUCAGGGGUACUCGAACACUGAGCCGUAUCCCCAGCCCUAUUUUGUAUUGUAAUUAGAGACAGGGUCUCAUUAAGUUGCUUAGCACCACACUUUGGCUGAGGCUGGCUUUGAACUUGUCAUCCUCCUAACUCAGCUUCCUGAGCCACUGGAAUUACAGGUGUGCACCAUUGUGUCAGGCCCUUAUGUAUAAAAAUCUUAAUUUUAUGGAGGAAGAAAGAAUAUUCUGCAAGAUUUAAAACUGAAUAUAAAAAAUUCAACACUUAUUUAAAAAAAAAAACUUGAAUUAAACUAAGAAUGGGAGGAAAUGUCUCUAAUCUACUAAAAACAAUUUAAAUAUUACCCCAUUCUAAAAGUGACCUUUUAUGAUAAAAAAAACAAAAUAUAGUUAGAAAUAACUUUGUCAUUAUAUUUAAUUUGCAAUUCUAUUAGGCAAUGUUAAAAAAAUUAAAAACUGGAAAAAUUGUGAACAUAAAAUAUUAUAUCUUGUAAAUUAAAUAUUAUGGUUAUUUGUAUAGAAGGCACAUGAUAAUACAGAACAAACAAUAGCUAUAGAAUUCAGAAAUAUAGUGGAAACAUUUUAACAAGUAAAACUUUUUAGUAAUUUUUAAAUACUUUUAUGUACUUGUAGUUUAAGAAUUAUAAUUACUCAAGACUGAGCAAAUAUAAAUUUGCAAUGACCUUAUGGUGAAAAUGUCAAAGUGCUAUUAAAGGGCUUGGAAGAAAAGUCAUAUAAUUAUGAGAUAUAUCCACAUAUAUACAAAGUCUUGCUAUUAUAGUGAUGUGAUUUGCCCAAAAGUAAACCUAAAAAAUUCAGUGUUAUUUCAAUCACAGAGCUAAUUAGACUAGAAAUCUAAUUCUUAAAGUAAUUUGAAAAAAUUAAUGACAAAUCCAAAGUGAACAAAUAUUUAGGAAAAUGGGAACUUAUAGAUACUGUUGAUAGUUUCAGUUGGUAUAGUUACUUUGCAGAAGAGGUUUGUAAGAUCAAGUCAAUUUUCAGAUGAACAUAAGUAUCACCUGAGAUUACAACAUAGCUUUUUAGAUGCUUAAGAAGUCUAUGAUCUAAUUACAAAAUUGUUUAUAAUAACAAACGGCUGAUCAAUAUAAAUAUCCAUCAGCAGAAGAAUAUAUAUAUAUAUAUAUAUAUAUAUAUAUAUAUAUAUAUAUAUAUAUAUAUAUAUAUAUAUAAUCUAUUAUGGUAUAUUCAUAAGGUAUAAACCAGAGAGCAACUCAACUAAAUAAAAAAGAGAAAUAUAUCAUAUGGGAAUGAGUAGGCAAGAUCCAGAAUGAUAUAUAAUGCAUGAUAGAUUUAAUGGCAUGCAAAACAACAAUAAAUACUGUUUAUAGAUAUGUACAAAUGUAACAUGCUGUGAAAACAUUUAAUGCAAAGACCCAUAUCAUUUCUAUAAUGGUGGUUAUCUCUAGGAGAAAAAGUACAUUGGGACGGAAAGGAAUAUAAAAUGUUUUUUAUCAGUCACGUUUGACUUCAAAAUAGUUUGGAAAGAAUUUGUUAAACAUAAGAAUUGAUUAUGUAUGUUUAUUAUAAUACUCUAUUAUUUUCUGAACAUGAGAAACUUUUAAUUAAAAUUUAUCAAAAUAUAUACUUGAGUUAUUAUUUUCCUAGUUUCUACUUUAAACUAUUUAAAACACAUUGCUCUUUUGGUUGCAUUAAAGUCCUUUUGUAAAUUAGGCUUUAUACAAAAAGUAGCUAAACAUUACCAGAUGGGGAGGAGUUGAACAUUAGGUAUAUAAUGACAGCAAUUAAAGAGAGAGGUUUAAGAUAUUUUAUAGGUAGUGCAUUCUCUGUAAUGCAAGGAAAAAAAUAGUAGACAGAUGUCUCAUUAGCUAAUGCACCUCGUAUAUUUUUCUUCUGUAAUUUUUUGACAGCAUCACCCAGCAUCCCAAAUAAGCAUAAGAAUGAGUUUGGUUGUGAAAUGAAACAAAAUAUAGAGGGUUUGCUAUGGCUAUCUUUCAAUCUGGACAGAUGACAUUCAUUCACUGGAAAAUAUAUUGGGCUUGGUUAAAAUUGCAUGGUGAUUUAAAUAGGCUUGGCAUGUCUCCAGGGCCACUGGAGGGUUGUCUUCAGCUUUUGAGACUGAAUUUCCUGGAGGUGUUCCUUGGACUGGUGUGACUUAGUUUAUCUCUAUUCAUAACAUUAUCAUUUUUUUUACAUAAUCCCAUGUAUAUCAAUAACUUUCUAAUUAGAAUAUAACAGCAGCUAUUUAGUUUCAAAUCUCCAGGAAAGUGUCACCUUGUCAGGGAUUUUUAAUGUGCAUUGAUAACUAAGAAAAUGGAUGUUCUGAGGCCAUAUAACAUGAAGGAGAUGAAUUUAUUGCUGUUAGUGAGGACUUUGACAUCAAGAAAUAGUUUUCUGCUUAUAGUCUAUAUACUUCUCAGGCUCUAUAGUGCUGAGUUGAUCUUGUUGCCCUUGCCUAUUCUGAACUUUCAGAGAUAUAAAUCGUCUCUAUUUUAGAUUCAUAAGUUUUAUACUGUUUCUUUUCAUCAGGGAUAUUGGAGUUGAAAUUAGUUUCAUUAGAAUUUCUCCAACAGUGCUUGAUGAAAAGCAUUAUCACUCUUUCCAUAUUAUUAGUGUAUUCAAAAUGAAACAUUUUGAGGAAUUGAAAUGAAUGAUGGAUGUAUAUACAGUAUUGGUUAAAACAGUUGCUGGAAAUGGCCUUGCCACAUGCCUGAGAAACAGGAAAAUCCAGUACCUUUGAUCAUAUGUUAAAUGCACACAUACAGUAAGUAAAUAAGAGAUAAAUAAGUAACUGUGACUUUAAAAGUAGUGAUAAAGUUUGGUUAUUUUCAUUAGCCAAUGAGUCCAUCAAGCAGGAAUACUUGAAAUCUGGUAUAUUAAAUUACUAUGUCUAAAUUUUUGAGAAAGUAAAGUGAUAUUUGCAACUCAAAUGUGUAUGGAAAGCAAUAGUAAUGGAAAAAGCAUGAACCUUACAGUUAGGAAAAUUAUGGUGACUUUUUGGCUUAGGUGUCACUAUUCUAUUUCUGUUGAGUUUUGUCCACUGUUAAUUGUACGAUGAUAUUUUAGUGAUUGUCAUGAGGAUUUCAUUGUCUGAUCUACAUUCAAUUAUCUCUAAUUUUGUCAGGCACAUAGUAGGGGACUCACAACUAUUUUUGAAACAAUGGUAUUCAUAUACACAAACAUUCAUGAAUGCAUGAAUAAGUAAAAAGGGUAUGGUCUUGCACAAAAGUGGUUAAUAAGUAUUUGUUACACUUCUAUUCCUUCUGCCUUCAGAAUAGUUGUGAUCAUUAAACACGUGAAUAUAUAUAUAUAUAUAUAUAUAUAUAUAUAUAUAUAUAUAUAUAAAGAGCUACUGAAAAAAAGUGUCAGCUUUCUUUCAACAUCGUUGCACACACGCCCACAUAAACAUGUCUUUAUCUAGCAGUCUGUAAAUGCAUACUUGCUUCUAAAUUAUUGUACAACAAAAUACUUAACCACUUAGCAUGGCAAAGACAAAUGUGUAGUAGGUUAACAGCAAGUUGAAUAUGUGGUUAUUAUUUAAUGUAUCUAAAAUUAAACUAUUCAUUAUACUUCCCAUCCACUCUGAGUCCCAGAGUAUGUCCAAUGUAUGAGAUAUAAUUCAGCAUUCAAUUCUAGACGCUUAUAAAAUUCUUUUGUCUAGGUACAUCUGCCACCUCCAACUUUCUGAUACAUUACAGUUCUCUGAUAGUAGAGCUAUAACUUCUCUUAUGCCAUAGCACAAAGCUAAAUAUGUCUAUCAAAUUACAUUAGUUAGGAUGAUGUGAAUUAAUAUUCCCUGGUAUGUCCUUUCUUAUUAUCAAGUGAACAAUACUUUUACCUGUUAUUGUUACUAUCAUCAUGCAAAUAUUCAGGGAAAUCAAAAUAACCUAGCUAUUUAUAAAAGACAUACCUGAAACAAAAAUAGUAUCAAAAACUUGGAAAAAAAAGAUAUAAUUCACUAUGCAAAAAAUAACAAAAUACAGUGGAAAAGCUAUGAAUAUGACAUAAAAUAAAAGUUUAAAAGAAUUUAGUGAAAUGAACAAAAAUUUUUGAUUGAUAAAAGAUAAAUUCUGCUGGGUACAGUGGCACAUUUCUGUAAUCCCAGCAGGUCCCAAAGCUGAGGAAGGAGGAUUGUGAGUUCAAGACCAACAUCAGCAACAGUGAGGCACUAAGCAACUCAGUGAGACCCUGUCUCUAAAUAAAUACCAAAUAGGGCUGGAGAUGUGGCCUAGUGAUCAAGUGCCCCUGAGUUCAAUCCCUGGUACCCUAACCACUGCCCCCUCCAAAAAGAAGAUAAACUCCACUGGAGAGGUAUAUCAGUUAAGAACUUUUAAGAACUUAAGAAAUGCAAAGAAAAUAUAUAUGAUCACAGAAAUUUCCUCAGAAAAUAAAAGAACAAGAUAAGAAAUACAAUCAUCCUGUUUCUAUACAGAUGCAUAGGUACAUUUAGAUAUGAAUCUUGUAUGUAUUUGGGUAAGAUCAGACUCAUUUCUCUGAAACUUCAAGUAGUACUGAUGGACCAAAAAGUUUCAAAAUACAAAUGUAAUUAGGUUAGAGUCAGUGGUUCAGAAAGACAUAAUGAUCUUCAGCUUCCUUCUGGGGUUCACAGGCUUCACUUCUUGCUACUCAUGCUUAACCUUCUGUUGUGGCUAGGGACAUGAGAUAAAGCCUGUGUGAGUAGACCAAGCUUACCUGGUCACACAGGUUAGAGACCCUGACCAUUCAGCUGCUGGCAGACCAGGCCCAUUAUGUGUGGUUUCCAUGACUGCAUAAUGGUUAGUAAUCACUCAUUCUCAUCAUGUAACUGAUAAAAAUAACAUCAGAUGAGUUAGGGUAUAGAUUAUAGCAAAGCCUAUAGAUAACAUAAAGUAUAGGAUAUGCCUUUUAUUCUUAAGUGUGGGAUUUUAUGAAGAAGCUUGGGAUUCCCAAGUAUCACAUGCCCAGCAGGAUACCAAAGAUUUGCUACCUUAAAUUUAUAUGCUCACAGAUAUCUGAACAGAAAAGAUAAACAAAAUAAAAUAUGUAAGGUACAACUAUGUCCCACAUACCAUUGAAGAUAUCUUUUAUGGUAUAGCUGGAUAUAUGAGUGUUAGACACUGCUAACAUUUUUGGAGAAGGCACAGUAAAACUGCAUCCAUUCAUUGCUGAAGGCCAAUGGAGAUUAACAUCUUUAAAAAGAUGCUCUACACUUUUGAAUAAUUUGAUGUGUUAAAGUUUAAUAAUGUAUCACAGCUGGAGGCCACAGUGGUUUUUUUUCAUUGAUUUAAUAAACUUUGUUAAAAAUAAUUUAAAUGAAAAUCAAUUAUUUUGACAGAAUAUUAAAACAUGUUAGGAAGUACAGUAAAGAUAUUAAAUUAAUUAGACCUUUCAUUCUGCAAAUCUCUAAAAUUAGUGAGAUAAACAAAUUUUUAAAAAUCUUAAAUAUGAAAUGAAGAAACAUUUCAGAGUGUAGUACUUUCUUUCGGCUAACUUAAAAGACAGUAACCAAGAAACUGUUGUAAUUAUGAUUGCCCAUUAAUAUAGGCCUUGAGAUACGAACAUUCUUUGUGAAGAAUAUGGGCUUUGAGACUGCCAACAUUACUUCUGUGAAAGGGAAAAAACCCUGGGAAUUAUGUUUUUGUAUGAUCCUGGAUUUUUUGAUCUCAUGUAUAUGAUUUGCAUCCUUGCUAGAAAAACAACAAAAUAAAACAAACAAACAAACAAACAAACAAAAAAGAGAAAAUAAUGAGAAGGAAAAAAAACCCUCAAGUUCAUAUUACCACUGUUGCUGGAUUCUCAUCCCUAGAACCUCUGUGGUCUUCUGAUGCUCAGCAAGUGUCCAUAAGUGUGUACUUACGGGUAUUUGAAUUCAACAGAAUAGUCCAUUUAUAAGAAAACACCCACAUGCAUGACCCACUGUACAUAUGCACACUCACAAAUACACAUGACACCCCAAUAACUGCCCAAACACAGGAUUUAUUUGAUAUAAUCUCUUUAAAAAACUCAAUAAAGGGGGCUGGGCAUGUGGCUCAAGCAGUAGCGCGCUCGCCUGGCAUGCGUGCGGCCCUGGUUCGAUCCUCAGCACCACAUACAAACAAAGAUGUUGUGUCCACCGAAAACUAAAAAAUAAAUAUUAAAAAAUUCUCUCUCUCUCUCUCUCAAAAAAAAAAAACUCAAUAAAGCCAAAAUUGAAUUUAACAGGUUGUAAUAAAGCUAAUCACACUAGGAUAAGUAAUACUGUGAUUUUAAAAAUACUAGCAACAAAAGUAGAAUAUUUGAAGAGAAAGUAGAAAGAAAACCCUCAGAAUUCCAACCUAAAGGAUCUAGCCAAAAAGAAACAAUCUGGAGAAUUUAUAGUCUUGAAAAUAUCCUUUAGGGAAUUCGACACUGCCCAUCCCCAUUCCACCCUCAAAAGGUGACUAGAGGUAAACAUAGUUGUGUGUGUGUGUGUGUGUGUGUGUAAGGAGAGAGAGGGAUAAUCAUCCCUCACUAUCCAUGGGAGAUCAUUCCAUAACCUCUUCUGGAUACCAAAAGUCACAGAUGCUUUAGUCUCUUAUAUAAAAUGACACAGUAUUUGCAUAUAACCUGUAAAUAUUCUCCUGUAUUAUUUAUCAUACCUAAUACAAUGUAAAUGAUAUGUUGUUGUAUUUAAUCAUUAGUGAAUAUAGUUACAUAGUAGUUAUAUUGCUUUGGGAAUAAAGACAGGGAAGUUUAUAUGUUCAGUAUAGAUGUGGCUGUUUUCCUUAAUGUAUUGGUUUUGUAGGUAUAGAACUCAGAUAUGGAGGGCAGACUGUAUAUGAAAACCACAGUAGAAUUAAAGAAUUAAGACAGAAGCAGAAAAUAAGACUUUCUUAAAGUUAUGCUAUGAAUUGAACACAUUUUGUAAACUUUUCAUUCCACUGUAAACAUUAAAACAUUGUAUACUGAAUGUUUUAAAUUAAAAAAAAAAGGUUUAAAAUGCAAGAAAAAAUGAAUUUCCAGGGAUUAAAGUAAAAAAAAAAUCACCACGUUAAACUAUGAUUGGAACCUGAAGCUACAUAAAAUAAGAAGUGAACAUAGCAGCCUGGUUCUUAACAUAUGUGUACAAUAUGGGAAGCCUGUGUAUUGCAGCCUGUGUAUUGCAAGAGGUAAAAUUGGAUCCACUGAAGAAAGUUUGCAAUUGCCUAUUCAUGGAUAGAACUAAAAUAAUUUUAGAUCUUAUCAUCUCCCAUAUCCACUCCCACUCCUGCUCAAACUAUAAACCAAGUUAAAAGAAAAGCCACAGAUUGGAAAAUUGUUAUGAUUAUUGUAAUUGUAAUAUUAUCAUUGUAUGGGUUAUAAAAAGAUACUUAUAAUCAAUGAAAAUAAGGGGAAAGCGAUUAAAAAAUAGUAGUUCAAGAAUAUAAAUAAAACAUUCACAGAAGAGGAAAUCCGGCUGUGUUUCUAUUUACCUUCUCAGGUUCAGGGAAUUGGAAAUUGCUGAAUAAUGACAUGCCAUUUCCAGCUAUCAUACUUUUAAAUUGGCUAUAUAAUCUUUUAGUUUUAACUAGGAUGUGAGGAAGUAAACAUUCUCAUGACACGCUAGGAGCUGUGUAUAUAGAUGACUUUUGCUGUAUACAACUUAUUAACGAACUUUCAAAAGCUACAUGAAAUAAACGUAUUUUAGAAAAUGACAAAUUAAUUCAAGAUUCAGAGAACAGACUAAUAGAUCAACUAUGUUACAGGAAAUUGAAAAUAAGCAUAAGAAUGCUGCAAAAAUGUAGUAGGCUUACAAAAGUUCAGAAUCAUUUUUUGAUUAAACAUUCCAGUAUAGAAUAUUUGUUCAAUAUGUCAUAUUAACUAUUCAUAAUGCACUUAUUUCCCCAUAGGAUAUAUAAGGUCAGCUAUGAUACAAAAAUUAGAGAAAUAAUACACAAAACUUAUAAAACAAUAUUAUUUAUGGAAAUCCAAAUAUCCCAAAUACAGUUUUUAAUUUAAAUUUCAAUAUAUUAUAAUAAAUAAUCAUAAACAGGAGAUUAUCCUAGUGAUAAAAUGGUAUUUCAAUAUUUUAUUGUAUUAUAAACUGUUAUAUUAAAAGAAUAAAACAUACUGUAAAUAUCUCAGUAGUUGAAAAGCUAUAUAAUAUAGUUCAACACUUAACUUUUUUAGAACCUCAUGAUAUGCUAAUAAAAUCAGUAAAAAUGGCUAAAUAUUUUCACAUAUAUAGCUAGAUACAUAUAUAAAAUAAAUAUGCAUCUAUCAUCUAUCUAUAUAUAAUUUCAGCCAAAUUUAUUGUAAAAGAUCAGACAGUAAAAUAAUUUUAGCUGUGUUUCAUAUUCAAAUUUGCUCAAUAUUGCUGUAUAAAAGUACUUAUGGAUGAUAUGUAAAUAAGUGAUGAUGGCAGAGUUCCAAGGAAACCUUACUUAUUUAUAAUAACCAGCAACUGGGAAUUUAGUUCAUGGGUCCUAGUUUGCUAAAUUCUACCAUAGAAACUCUGUUGAGACUUAAACUCAUGCAUGAACAAUUAGAAAUAUUGCCACAAAAUUUAGGAACAAUAUAUAGAAACACAUUUUCUUAAUCCAUUUUAGUUGCUAUACGAAAACACUCUAAUUUAGGUCAGUUAUAAACAACAGAAAUUUUGUUUCUCCCAGUUCUGGAAGCCAGGAAAUCUUAGAUCAAGGUAAAUUUGUUGUUUGAGAGGGCUCUUUACUCGUGACAGCUACUUUCUUACUUUAACUUUCCUUGGCAGAAGAGCAGAAGGAUUUUUCUUGAAUCUCUCUGGUAAGGGGAAACUAAUUCUACUCCAUGUGGCUCUGUCUUCGUGAUCUAAUCGUUAAUUAAACCAUCCAGUAUAGAAUAUUUAUUUAAUAUGUCAUAUUAACUAUUCAUAAUGCAUUUAUUUCCCCAUAGGACAUAUAAGGUCACUCCUAAUAUAAUCAACAAGAGGUCAAGAAUUUCAGCAUAUGAAUAUGGGAGUGACAUAAUCCCAAAGAGCACAACCCCAAUGACCUACUUCCUCCAGCUAUCCCUCAUUUCCUACAGUUACCACCGAGUAAUCAUUCAAACUAUUAAGGAAGCAAAUGGAUGAAUGCAAUGAUUAUGUUUCAGCUCUCAUAAUCUAAUCAUUUCACCUCUGAACAUUUCUUCAUUAACAUGUGAGUUUUUACAGUUAUCACUUCAUAUCCAAACCAUAACAUAUCCUUAUAUCUAAGAUCAACUCUACCACUCUAUACUCGUUUCAUGUAUUAUCCCAGUUUUGUUCUAAAUAGUUGACAUCAAAGCAUUUUGGCCAACUCCAACACAACCCAGUGUUUGCUAUUUUCUCCAAUAAAAAUGUGUGUGUGUGUGUGUGUAUAUAUAUAUAUAUAUAUAUAUAUAUAUAUAUAUAUAUAUAUAUAUAUAUAUAUAUCUUAUAUUUUAAAUAUACUUUUCAUGUUUCUGUGAUAUUCUAGGUCUAAAUUCUGUUAUGCCAAUGUUGUUUCAAUUAGCUGUGACCAAAAUUUCUGACAGGAGCAGUGUAGAGGAGGAAAUAAUUAUUUUGGCUCUUGGUUUCAGAGUUUGAGUCCAUGGUCAACUGGCUCUAUAGCCCUGGGCCCAAGGUAAGUCAGAAUAUCAUGGCAGGAGGGUAUGACAGGGAAAAGCUGCUCAGGACAUGACAACCAGGAAGCAGAGAGCUUUGCUUACCAGGGACAAAAUAUAAACUGGAAUGACAUGACCCUAGUGACCUACUUCUUCCCAUCACAUCCUACCUGCCUACAAUUAAUGCCCAGUUAAUUCAUAUCAGUGAACCAAUCCAUUGAUUAAUCAAAGAUUUCAUCAUCUCAUCAUUUUAUAAUAUUCAUAAUAUUAUAUAUAAUAUAUGCAAUAUUAUAUGUAAUAUAUAAUUCAUAAUAUUAUAUAUAAUAUAUACAAUAUUAUGUGUAAUAUAUAAUUAUUAUAUGUAACAAAUAAUAUUGUAUAUAUUAUAUACAUAUUUUAAUAUUCAUAAUCUCUGAAUAUUCUUGUAUUUUCUCACACAUGAAAUUUUGGGGGGGAUACCUCAUAUUUAAACCAUAACAAAUGUAGAAUUCAAAACAAAACAUGUUAAAGACAUAUCAGCCUCAUAUCAUAUUCAGCCUCUAUUGUUUCUUGUUUCUAAAGGCAGAUGAUUAUAGUUUAGCUUCUACUAAUGAAAGAACACAUAUGGGAUGGAACUCAGAACUGAGUAAAAUGGAAAAAGAGAUUGGACCAAGAGUAGUCAUUUUUGUUGGCUUGUGUUUAUCAAAGACAGCUGAGUUCUAGAGUCAGCCACUAGGAAGACAAAUUCCUGAUUCUAUUACUUUAUGAUCAUGACAAAGGCAGUAUUGGUACUACAUCCCUACAUCAAAACAACAACAACAAAAAACAAACAAACAAACAAAAAACCGCAGCUUUGGCUUCCAGUUUUUUAUAGUUUCCUUCCUAAGCAUGGAAGAAAGUACAAAUCUGGAAACAAUAUUGAUGUAAGUAGUUUCCUCAAUCAGAUCUUCCAGUCAUAGAGAGAGCAGUGAAUCUUGCCUAAAGGAUCUUUCUUGGCAUGCCUUUUAUGUUCUUCAAACUCUUUAUGUUUCCCAAUAAAUCUCUUUCUGAUUAAAUUAUCUAUAGUGGAUUCUGUUAUUGGCAACUAUGAUUCCUAAUGGACCAAACUGCUGUGGGGUUGGUAACAUAGAGGCCAGAAACAAUGAGAUAAAAUACAUUGCAAAAGAAAUGGUUAUUAUUGUUACUAUUACUAUUAUUAUUAUGUAAAUUAUUUAUGAAUGCUUAAAGUUGUUUAUAAUUAUGUAACAUUCUGGGUUCAGUGAUAAAUUGUUUGCUUUGUUUUGUUAACACCCAUCCACACCUCAACAUGAGCCAGCAUUCCAAAAGGAUAUAAGAGGCUGACACUAGAACCACUAUUCUAGUUUUUACUGGGUGUUUGUAAAACUGAUUUUCUCACAUGACAUGUUCUCAAUUCUUUCUCAUGGGACUGUACUUUACCUAAUAAGGAAAAAUUGGUGAGGAGUAAGUAUAUAAAGUUUAUUCUUAGUUUCUGCCUGUAUUUCAUGCUCUAGUCAUUCAAAUACCCUUACCUACAGCAUUACUAUAGGCAAUUUAUCACUGAGCAUAGCCUCAGAGUGCUUAAAUCUGAGUCCUCUUGCUUUUCAUUUCAACAAAUGCUUAGCACAAAGGGUUCUUAUUUGUUGUUGGGAAAAUCUCUGUCUUUAACAGUCCAUUUGUUCUCUCAUUUUGCAGUAAUAGAAAACCAGCUGUGUAACUAAAAUGCAUGCAUGACAUAAUUCUCAUCAAAUGAUAUUAACUUACUCAGGUAAAAUAUUGAACAUACAAUAACUUGAAAAUAAUGUAUUAUCAGCCACCGGUUUGCUUCAGUUUUAUGUUUUGUAUACCUAGCCUAAAUUAACUUUUUUACAAAGGAAUAAGAAUUUUAAAAGCACUAGUAUGGUGUACAUUCCAUAAGAACAAGGACAGUGUGUUAACUCAUCUUUCAUCAAUGUGACAGAAACAACAACAACAAAAUAACAAGAACAACAUAGAGGAGUAAGUAACUUCUGAUAUCAGAAGUUCAGUCCAUAGAGAACUGACUCCUUUGCUCCAGGUUCAAGAUGAGGCAAGAGCAUUCUGGUAGAAGGAUAUGGUGAGAGGUGCUGCUCCAUUCAUUGCAUCAAGGAAGCUUCCUUCCAGGGCAUACCCUCAGUGAACAACCUCACCCAAUCACCUGCCUACUGUUAUCACUUAGUCCAUUCAAAUUAGGAUGGACUGAUUUGAUUACAGCUCUUGGAAUCCAAUCAUGUCUCCUCCAAACAUUUGUGUUAUAACACAGGGUUAUUUUAAGGGACACCACAUAUCCAAACCACAACAGAAAAGUUCUUAAACUCAUCUCCAAAGUAAAUUUAAGGAAAAGAGCAAAAAAUUGCCUGCAUUGUUCAGAACUAUCAGUCUUUUGUAUUUUUUUUAAAUCCCAUUUCUUAAAGCCAUGGGGGAAAGAAAGAAUAGAAAUGACUGAGCCCUAGAGAAGAGGGGAUAAACAGCUGAUAAACAUAACUUGUUUUUUCCUAGAAUAUUCUGAGUUUCACCCUCAUGGUUUCUGUCAAAGAUAAUAAUAACAAAAAUAACUAAAACAAAAACAAAGAAUGAAUUUGCUUUGAAUCAGUCUGCGUGGCCCAGACAUCUUUGAUGAGGAAGAAGAUUCAGAUUCUUCAUUAUAUUAAGCUAUAUAAUUUUUAAAAAUUUUUUAGUCUGAGUCUUUCUUUAAUUUAGCCUUCUGAUAAAAUAUAUUCAAACUUUUUAAUUAGUGUAGAAUAUUUAACUAGUUUAAAUUUAACAUUAUGUGACUAUUAAGUGGGAAUUAAAAAAAUAAAAUAAAGAGGAUUCCCUAGUUACCUUCACUCCCUUUCUCCACUCUUCUGGAGAAUUUCGGUACCCUAUAUUUGCAUUAUGCAACUGGUCUCCUUGUUUCAAUAAGUUCCCAACUCAAAAAUUAGUAAACUUUUUCUGUAAAGAAUCAUUUAGUGGAUAUUGUAGGCUUUUGUCUCUGUUGCAAAUACUUAACCGUAUUGUGCAAGCACAACCACAAACAAUAAUUAAACCAACAUAUCUGACUAUGGUACAAUAAAACUUUUUUUUAAUAUAAAAACAGGGAUUAGACUAGAUUUGGUGUAUAGACUUCUGUUUUCUGAUCUCUGCCCUUAAAUUAAUUAACCAAUCAAUCAAAAUAAUUUGUUUUAAAAAAGCACACCACCAGUUUGGUAACUAUAACAUUUAAAAUAUUCUUUGGAGAUGGAUAUAGUGGAUUUUUUAAUGUCAAGUAAAUGUUAUUUAACAAAGAAUAUCAAAGGACAUUAGAUUUGGGGUCCAGGGCAGAAAAGCAAGUAGUGGUUUCAACAUUUACAAAAAAAAUGUCCAGAAAAUCAAAAGCUUUUGCAUAGGAAAUAUGGUCAGGAGAAAACAGAAGGUUAUUUGCUCCUUCAGAGCAUUAUGUUCCAAACUUAUAGACAUUCAUCUUUCUCUUCUGCUUUCCUUCCAAAAUCCAUUUGAUGAACAGAUUUGUCUUCUGGUAUAAAGACUAUGGAUCAUUCGAAUUAAGUAACCUGAAAAAGGUGAACAUUGAAAAGUGUUCAAAUGAAUUGUACUUAGCACUUAGCUUGAAGGGGACUUUCAACAAACAAAUGUUUUGGUAUCUUUUUUUUCUUUGAAAGGUAAUUAUUUAUUAUGGUAGAAAUUACAUAAAAUACACAUUGAUUUAUUGUGCAUGUUUCAUGUUAAUUGAAUCUUCAAGUCGGAUAGCUGCUAUAACUUGAUACAUUUACUUCUUGGUAUUGUCUUGGCAAUGUAUGUAAUUUUUGAUUUCUUAUUGAGGAUAAUGCAUAUAAGUUUCAGAAAUAACCUCUAAGCACCAAGACAGAACUUUUGAUGUCCAUUUUGAUUGUAGUUAUUUUAGGCUUAAAACAGCCAAGAUCCCAUUCCACAUGAAAACAUACACUAACCCUCUGAGAGUUGUCAAAAGAAACAUUAAAUCCCCAUAUUCAUUGAUAAAGACAAUUUCAUUUUGUUGCUCCUUCUUUCCUCUCCAUUUCUUUCUUAAUAGUUUUAUUUCCAAGUAUUCAUGCUAGACAUACAAAAUGACAUUAAUGCACUUGUAAGAGUUUGGAAGAUGAUAGAGCAGAGCAUAUCAAAACUAUCCUAGAAUCUGUGUCAACAUUUAUUCUUUAUCUCGAAAUAAAGAAAUGAAGAUUAUUAAUUUGAAAUGAACAUGUAUUUCUAAUCAUUAAUAUAACAUGCUUAACAUAUAUACCCAUGUUUUAUAAUACACAUUUAUCCACUUAUAUUUAUUGUAUAGAUUGACAUUAGUAACUUCACUUAGUUUCUAUUAAAGAUGACCCUGUCUCAUAUGGAAUUGCCAAUAUAUCCUGAGCAAAGAGUCAAUAUUCCCUGAUGUGGAAUGCAUAAGACUAUAAAUGCUGUGGAAAAGUCUCAAUAUGUCUCAUUUUAUAUUAUGUGUUGUGAGUGAUUUUAUCUUAAAAUAGCAUGCUAAUUAAAAUAUCAACUUUUUUCCAAGCCACUAAAGAAUUAUCAUAGAAGCAGUAAAGAAAUUUCAAAAAGAAUAAAGAUCAUCAACUAUUGUUUAAAAAAACAAUCAUUUAUUAUUGUUUUAAAGAAACUACUUAAAAUGAUGUUUUAAAGGAACAAAUUUGUUUUGUGGAAUAUUUUUAUAAACACAAUUCCCAGUUGAAAAAGUGGCUUGAUUAGAAUAAAAAGUAAACAAGCAUUUCAACCACUGAAAGGGACUCUAAGUAGAUUUCAUUAUUACUACCUUGUUCCUAUUCCACUGUUUCCUUCCCUACUUCUGUAUUGAGAUGAGUUCUUGAAGUUCAUCUCCCAUCAUGCCACUACCUCUGUAAACAUUCCCUUCUUGAAAGAAUUGUGUUCAACACUUUGUGAUCAUAUUAUUUUUUUUCUCAUCUUUCAACAUUUUAUUAAAAGCAGAUACUCUUGCCACAUUAGACUACAUGAGCAUUUCUAUAUAGGCUUUGUCUAGAAAAUCAUGGACCUUUCUCUUCCCUUUCUCUAUCAAAUCUUUGCAUUGUCAAAUGCUAUCUUCUUUAUAAGUCAUUUUCUAUCCUCCCCAUUGAGAUUUUACCUUAUUCUUUUAUGUUCUCAUUUUUCAUAGUUGUCUUAUCUUUUAUGUGGUUUGAAAGAAACAACUAUUUUUUUUUCUUAUUUGUCAUUGUCCACAUAAGGGUUCUUUGAUGAGUUGAAUUUGUUUCUCCUACUCCAGGACCAUAAACUGUCUCUACUUGAUUUCUUUCUGAGCCCCAUCACUGAAUACCCUUUAGUAUGAAAAAUAAUUUUUCAAAAUUUUUGCAGCCAUUUUUAUGUUUAAUUAAAUCAUGCACUUCAGGAGGGCAAAACCCAUGAAUUAGUUUUUAUUCAAUCCUGGUGACACCUAAACCAGAGCUUACUAAGUUUAUGACAGUUAGUAGGUAUUUGUUAACUAAGCACAUAAGCAUUAUUUGUGAUUUAAUGCUAUGGUUUUGCUUAGUACUGGACCUAUACUCAAUAUAUUUUGUAUCAGAUUAUACUUUUCAAAGACAAUCGCAUAAUAUUUCUCUUCCAUUAACACUGUCUAUGUUAGGAAGUAAAUUGUCUGUACUCUCCUCUUGCACUUGAGUAGGCUCUUGGGUUGCUUAUAAAUAAUGCAAUGCUGUGGAAACAAUACAGAUAACUUCUGAAUCUUAGUUAUAAAAGACUCUGGGGCUUCUUGCUUUGUUUUCCAGAACAUUCUUACUUGGAGACCUGAGUAGCCAUAUAAGAAAUCUGACUACUGUGAAACUACCACCGUCUGAGGAAGCAAGGAGAGGAUACAUGUUGACUCUACAGUUUGAAAUCACAGUCUUCUGAGUUCAGGUGUCAGUCAUGUGAGUGUUAUAGUCUGAACAUGUUUGUUUCCUCAAAAAUUCAUGCUGAAACUUAAUGCAAUAGUAUUGGAAGGCAUUUCCUUUGGGAGGUGAUUAAGUCAUAAGAGCAGAGUCUUCAUGAAUAGGAUCAGGGGCUCUUAUGAAAGGCAUUGACAGAGGCCUUCUGUCUCAUCUACCACAUACAGAAACAUGAUCCUUCCCUCUAGAGAAUGAGGCAUCAAGGUGCCACAUUGGAAGCAGAAAGCACACACAUAAAUUAUCAGAAAAGCACCACUAAGGAUUCAUAUUGGAGUUGCAACUAGCAUUAUUCAAGGGUUUAUGGUAUAUUUUUAUCAUCCAACUAAAAUGAAGUAAAAAAGACUGGCAUUGCAGUCAAGUUCAUAUCAAUGCAUCGAAGGGAAAGAAUCAGCUAAUGUUAUACUUGCUUACUGACAUCAUUAAUUAGUGAUAUUCAUUUGAUCUAGGUGUAUAAAAAUAGUAGAUAGAAUUUAUUCUUGAAAUAAACCAUGGAGACUAAAAUUGAUAGUAGUACCUAAGAGAGAGGAAAGGUUAUAUUUUGGAGUUAGUUUCAUAGUACAAAUCUAUAUAUCACUGUGCCUUUUUAAUGCAUCCCUACAUUAAUCUUAGAUUUAAUGUGUGAAGUAUAUGGAACAAAGAGACCUUAAGGAUUGUAUCAGAGAAAAAGGAACUUGGCUUUGUUUUUACUAUUUUUGAGCACAUAUUGGUUUGACUAAUUCCCAAGAACUAUAUUUUAGUAAUACAUAUUGAGGGUCAAGUUUUAUUUAUUUAUAUAUUCAAAUUUGCAGGAAAUUCUCCACGAUUCCAAAGAGAAUGUCCUCUUUCUCCAUUUACUGUAGGAUUAUUUCAUUGCCUGGUACAUGUUUCUGUGGAAUUAAAGUAAUGUGAUUUGAGUUGGAAUAAAUUUGCCUCACUCAAAAAAAUAAUAAUAAGCACCAAACUUGUAGGUGCUUUUUAUUUGAUUCAUUUACUCAAGAAAACAAAAUUUUAUUUGUAAUUAUUGGUUUGAUUCUUUUGAGGAGAUGCCAAUACUCAUACUUACCUAAGACAAAUAUUUAUAAAUAAUUAUCGAAUUUUCCUCAUUUAGUCUGGUAAUAGGGUCAGAAUUCAUAAUGGAGUGAUUCAUUGAAUAUCUAUGAAAUUCUGAAAAUUGGUGUAUGACUUGAAAUGUUGUCAUUCUUGUUUACUGGUAUCAUUAAUUGAUAUUUAAUAGAGAUAACUAUAUACUUAUUUGGGAAUAAUUGAAAUCAAUAUCUAGAACUUGCUACUGGCUGAUUAUUUUUAAUCUGACAUGUAUAUAUAUGCAACUUCUAUAGAUUAGAU
rnacentral:lncRNA from 1 species